rnacentral:lncRNA from 1 species
UACUAUUCACCAUGUACAUAGUAUAUAUCUUAUGUAAAAAUAUGGCAAGGGAUCCCUAAUAGUACAGCAAUAUCUACAGAGCAUAAUUUGUUUUGCUGAGAGACCUACAAGCUGGCCUUCUCUGAACCAAUCCGCCACAUGUUGAUCGAAUCCAUGGUAUGCAUAGGUUUUGAAGGCAAUGCAACUCUCGAUGUAUUGAUCGGGUGCACGGUGCACGUAUAUAAGUACAAGGGCAGCCCUCAGCCUCAUCUAUACAAGGAAACUAGAGGCGGGGCCGGUAGGAGAUUAUCCUAANNNNNNNNNNNNNNNNNNNNNNNNNNNNNNNNNNNNNNNNNNNNNNNNNNNNNNNNNNNNNNNNNNNNNNNNNNNNNNNNNNNNNNNNNNNNNNNNNNNNNNNNNNNNNNNNNNNNNNNNNNNNNNNNNNNNNNNNNNNNNNNNNNNNNNNNNNNNNNNNNNNNNNNNNNNNNNNNNNNNNNNNNNNNNNNNNNNNNNNNNNNNNNNNNNNNNNNNNNNNNNNNNNNNNNNNNNNNNNNNNNNNNNNNNNNNNNNNNNNNNNNNNNNNNNNNNNNNNNNNNNNNNNNNNNNNNNNNNNNNNNNNNNNNNNNNNNUCAAAUGUAGGCGUCGGUAACCCCUUGUUCAUAACAUCAGCAAACUGCUGAGUGGUGGGAACAUGAAGAACGCGGAUGCGCCCAAGAGCCACCUGCUCUCGCACGAAGUGAAUGUCGAGCUCAAUAUGCUUCGUGCGACGAUGAUGAACGGGGUUGGCGGAGAGGUAGACUACAGAGACAUUGUCACAGUAGACAAUGGUGGCCUUCGGGACGUCAAGAAGCAACUCCUGGAGAAGCUGCCGGAGCCACGAGCACUCGGCAAUGGCAUUGGCCACAACACGAUACUCAGCCUCAGCACUGGAGCGGGAUACCGUGGGUUGUCGUUUAGGCGACCACGAUAUGAGCGAGGGACCCAGGUAGACGCAGUAGCCUGAAGUGGAGCGACGGGUGUCCGGACAGCCAGCCCAAUCGGCGUCACUGUAGGCAACAAGGUCGGUCGAGGGCGAGGCCGUCAACGUAAGACCCAGAGCCGUGCUGCCGCGGAUGUACCAAAGAAUCCGCUUCACCAGGUUCCAGUGAGUGUCGCGAGGGGCGUGCAUGUGGAGACACACCAGCUGGACGGCGUACUGCAGGUCCGGCCGAGUGAGCGUUAAGUACUGAAGGGCGCCGACAAUGGAGUGGUAGAACGCGCAUCCGGCGCACCGUCGAGCGCAGUGUUGGGGAACGCAGUAAUUUCAAAAAAAUCCUACGAGCACGCAAGAUCUAUCUAGGUGACGCAUAUCAACGAGCGGGAGAGUGUGUCCACGUACCCUCGUAGACCGAAAGCGGAAGCGUUUAGUAAUGCGGUUGAUGUAGUCGAACGUCUUCCCGAUCCAAGUACCGAACGUACGGUACCUCCGCGUUCAGCUCGGUGACGUUCCUCGAACUCUUGAUCCAGUUGAGGCCGAGGGAGAGUUCCGUCAGCACGACGGCGUGGUGACGGUGAUGAUGAAGUGCAGGGCUUCGCCUAAGCACUAUGACGAUAUGACCGAGGUGUGUAACUGUGGAGGGGGGCACCGCACACGGCUAAGAGAUUGUCUGUUGUGCUAUUGGGGUGCCCCCUGGCCACGUAUAUAAAGGAGGGAGGAAGAGGAGGCCGGCCUAGGAGGGGCGCGCCUAUAGGGGGAGUCCAACUAGGAUUCCCAAUCCUAGUUGGAGUCCCCUUCCUUUUCCAAGAGGGGAGAGAGGGAAGGAGUAGGAGAGGGAGAAGGAAAGAGAGGGGGGCGCCGCCCCCUCCCUAGACCAAUUCGGACAUGCCAUGGGGGCGCGCGGCCACACCUUGAGGCCCUUCUCUCCUUUCUCGUAUGGCCCAUUAAGGCCCACUACUUCCCCGGCGAAUUCCCGUAACUCCCCGGUACUCCGAAAAAUAACCGAAUCACUCAGAACCUUUUCGAUGUUCGAAUAUAGCCUUCCAAUAUAUCGAUCUUUAUGUCUCGACCAUUUCGAGACUCCUCGUUAUGUCCGUGAUCUCAUCCGGGACUCCGAACAACCUUCGGUGCAUCAAAUCACGUAACUCAUAAUACAAAUUGUCAUCGAACGUUAAGCGUGCGGACCCAACGGGUUCGAGAACUAUGUAGACAUGACCGUGACACAUCUCCGGUCAAUAACCAAUAGCGGAACCUGGAUGCUCAUAUUGGCUCCUACAUAUUCUACGAAGAUCUUUAUCGGUCAAAUCGCAUAACAACAUACGUUAUUCCCUUUGUCAUCGGUAUGUUACUUGCCCGAGAUUCGAUCGUCGGUAUCUCGAUACCUAGUUCAAUCUCGUUACCGGCAAGUCUCUUUACUCGUUCCAUAAUGCAUCAUCCCGCAACUAACUCAUUAGUCACAUUGCUUGCAAGGCUUAUAGUGAUGUGCAUUACCGAGAGGGCCCAGAGAUACCUCUCCGACAAUCGGAGUGACACAUCCUAAUCUCGAUCUAUGCCAACUCAACAAACACCAUCGGAGACACCUGUAGAGCAUCUUUAUAAUCACCCAGUUACUUGUGACGUUUGAUAGCACACAAAGUGUUCCUCCGGUAUUCGGGAGUUGCAUAAUCUCAUAGUCAUAGGAACAUGUAUAAGUCAUGAAGAAAGCAAUAUCAACAAACUAAACGAUCAAGUGCUAAGCUAACGGAAUGGGUCAAGUCAAUCACAUCAUUCUCUAAUGAUGUGAUCCCGUUAAUCAAAUGACAACUCAUGUCUAUGGCUAGGGAACUUAACCAUCUUCGAUUCAACGAGCUAGUCAAGUAGAGGCAUACUAGUGACACUCUGUUUGUCUAUGUAUUCACACAUGUACUAAGUUUCCGGUUAAUGCAAUUCUAGCAUGAAUAAUAAACAUUUAUCAUGAUAUAAGGAAAUAUAAAUAACAACUUUAUUAUUGCCUCUAGGGCAUAUUUCCUUCAGUCUCCCACUUGCACUAGAGUCAAUAAUCUAGUUCACAUCACUAUGUGAUUUAACACCAAUAGUUCACAUCACCAUGUGAUUAACACCCAUAGUUCACAUCGCCAUGUGACCAACACUCAAAGUGUUUACUAGAGUCAGUAAUCUAGUUCACAUCGCCAUGUGAUUAACACCCAAAGAUUACUAAGGUGUGAUCAUGUUUUGCUUGUGAGAGAAGUUUAGUCAACGGGUCUCUCAAAUUCAGAUCCGUGUGUAUUUUGCAAAUUUCUAUGUCUACAAUGCUUUCCACGGAGCUACUUUAGCUAAUUGCUCCCACUUUCAAUAUGUAUCCGGAUUGUGACUUAGAGUCAUCCAGAUUGGUGUCAAAACUUGCAUCGAUGUAACUAUUUACGACGAACUCUUUAUCACCUCCAUAACUGAGAAAUAUUUCCUUAGUCCUCUAAGGAUAAUUUUGACCGUUGUCCAGUGAUCUACUCCUAGAUCGAAAUUGCACUCCCUUGCCAAACUCAGGGUAGGGUAUACAAUAGGUCUGGUACACAGCAUGGCAUACUUUAUAGAACCUAUGGCUGAGGCAUAGGGAAUGACUUUCAUUCUCUCUCUAUCUUCUGCCGUGGUCGGGCUUUCAGUCUUACUCAACUUCACCUUGCAACACAGGCAAGAACUCUUUCUUUGACUGUUCCAUUUUGAACUACUUCAAAAACUUGUCAAGGUAUGUACUCAUUGAAAAAUUUUAUCAAGCGUCUUGAUCUAUCUCUAUAGAUCUUGAUGCUCAAUAUGUAAGCAGCUUCACCGAGGUCUUUCUUUGAAAAACUCCUUUCAAACACUCCGUUAUGCUUUCCAGAAAAUUCUACACCAUUUCUGAUCGACAAUAGGUCAUUCACAUAUACUUAUCAGAAAGGCUGUAGUGCUCCCACUCACUUUCUUGUAAAUACAGGCUUCACCGCAAGUCUGUAUAAAACUAUAUGCUUUGAUCAACUUAUCAAAACGUAUAUUCCAACUCCGAGAUGCUUGCACCAGUCCAUAGAUGGAUCGCUGGAGCUUGCAUAUUUUGUUAGGACCUUUAGGAUUGACACAACCUUCUGGUUGCAUCAUAUACAACUCUUCUUUAAUAAAUCCAUUAAGGAUUUGUCAGGACCCCGAUUCCAAGUCACAUCGAUCUAGCCGGUAACACCUCAUAUCACUUUGCGGCCUCACGCACGGUAUUCCCACGGGUGUCGCCUUACCAUGGCCCGGGACCUUUUGCGCCUUUUGGCUCACGUAUAUGAUAGUGUCGCUAGCAUCCAUAUGACAGAGAACCCGGGCCGACAUGACUAGUCGUGAACCCAAAGUGGCACUAACUUACGGGGACAGGCAUACAUGAAUCAACAUCGAGCAUGUCGGUCAGCAGCGUGCGAAUCCGGGAUGUAGCACUGGGCUAACAGGACUCCAGUGAACCGGGCUGUAGUAGGCUAGGCAGGACUCCGGAUGUCACCGCGUGACAUUUCCCCGAAGGGACAGACACAGGAACGAAGUGAAUCACAUGCCGGCCAGUCAAGUGUUCCGGAGCAGUAGUGCUGGGCUAGCAGGACUCCGGUGAACCGGGCUGUAGCGGACUACUAUGGCUCAUGGAAGCACAAGACUACAUUUCCCCAUAAGAGAGGCUACCAAGGAUAAACAGCUAGGUUGUCGGAUCCCACACAUACCAAGCAUUUCAAUCAUACACACAAUAUGCUCGAUAUGUGUAAAUACAACAUGGCAUCACUGUUGGAAAUAUGCCCUAGAGGCAAUAAUAAAUGGUUAUUAUUAUAUUUCUUUGUUCAUGAUAAUUGUCUAUUAUUCAUGCUAUAAUUGUAUUGUCCGGAAAUCGUAAUACAUGUGUGAAUACAUAGACCACAACGUGUCCCUAGUAAGCCUCUAGUUGACUAGCUCGUUGAUCAACAGAUAGUCAUGGUUUCCUGACUAUGGACAUUGGAUGUCAUUGAUAACGGGAUCACAUCAUUAGGAGAAUGAUGUGAUGGACAAGACCCAAUCCUAAGCAUAGCAUAAAAGAUCGUGUAGUUUCGUUUGCUAGAGCUUUUCCAAUGUCAAGUAUCUUUUCCUUAGACCAUGAGAUCGUGCAACUCCCGGAUACCGUAGGAGUGCUUUGGGUGUGCCAAACUUCAUAACGUAACUGGGUGACUAUAAAGGUGCACUACGGGUAUCUCCGAAAGUGUCUGUUGGGUUGGCACGGAUCGAGACUGGGAUUUGUCACUCCGUGUGACGGAGAGGUAUCUCUGGGCCCACUUGGUAAUGCAUCAUCAUAAUGAGCUCAAUGUGACUAAGGCGUUAGUCACAGGAUCAUGCAUUGCGAUACGAGUAAAGAGACUUGCCGGUAACGAGAUUGAACAAGGUAUUGGGAUACCGACGAUCGAAUCUCGAGCAAGUAACAUACCGUUUGACAAAGGGAAUUGCAUACGGAUUGAUUGAAUCCUCGACACCGUGGUUCAUCCGAUGAGAUCAUCGUGGAACAUGUGGGAGCCAACAUGGGUAUCCAGAUCCCGCUGUUGGUUAUUGACCGGAGAGGCGUCUCGGUCAUGUCUGCAUGUCUCCCGAACCCGUAGGGUCUACACACUUAAGGUUCGAUGACGCUAGGGUUGUAGAGAUAUAUGUAUGCGGAAACCCGAAAGUUGUUCAGAGUCCCGGAUGAGAUCCCGGACGUCACGAGAGGUUCCGGAAUGGUCCGGAGGUGAAGAAUUAUAUAUAGGAAGUCCAGUUUCGGCCACCGGGAAAGUUUUGGGGGUUACCGGUAUUGUACCGGGACCACCGGAAGGGUCCCGGGGGUCCACCGGGUGGGGCCACCUAUCCCGGAGGGCCCCGUGGGCUGAAAGUGGAAGGGAACCAGCCCUUAGUGGGCUGGGGCGCCCCCCUUGGGCCUCCCCCCAUGCGCCUAGGGUUGGGAACCCUAGGGGGGAGUUCCCCCUUGCCUUGGGGGGCAAGGCACCCCUUCCCCCCCACUUGGCCGCCGCCCCCCCCCCUUUGGAUAUGAUCUCCAGGGCCGGCGCCCCCCCAGGGGGCCUAUAUAAAGGGGGGGAGGGGGCAGCACACAACAGCCUUGGGCGCCUCCCUCCUCCCCUGCAACACCUCUCUCUCUCUCGCAGAAGCUUAGCGAAGCCCUGCCGAGACCCGCUACAUCCACCACCACGCCGUCGUGCUGCUGGAUCUCCAUCAACCUCUCCUUCCCCCUUGCUGGAUCAAGAAGGAGGAGACGUCGCUGCACCGUACGUGUGUUGAACGCGGAGGUGCCGUCCGUUCGGCACUCGGUCAUCGAUGAUUUGGAUCACGGCGAGUACGACUCCGUCAUCCACGUUCAUUGGAACGCUUCUGCUCGCGAUCUACAAGGGUAUGUAGAUGCACUCCUUUCCCCUCGUUGCUAGUAGACUCCAUAGAUGCAUCUUGGUGAGCAUAGGAAAAUUUUUAAAUUAUGCUACGAUUCCCAACAGUGGCAUCAUGAGCCAGGUCUAUGCAUAGUUACUAUGCACGAGUAGAACACAAAGCAGUUGUGGGCGUUGAGUUUGCCAAUUCUUCUUGCCGCUACUAGUCGUUUCUUGUUUCGGCAGCAUUGUAGGAUGAAGCGGCCCGGACCGACCUUACACGUACGCUUACGUGAGACUGGUUCCACCGACUGACAUGCACUAGUUGCAUAAGGUGGCUAGCGGGUGUCUGUCUCUCCUACUUUAGUCGGAAUGGAUUCGAUGAAAAGGGUCCUUAUGAAGGGUAAAUAGAAAUUGGCAAAUCACGUUGUGGUCAUACGUAGGUAAGAAAACGUUCUUGCUAGAAACCUACAAACCACGUAAAAACUUGCAACAACAAUUAGAGGACGUCUAACUUGUUUUUGCAGCAAGUGCUAUGUGAUGUGAUAUGGCCAGAAGAUGUGAUGAAUGAUAUAUGUGAUGUAUGAUAUUGAUCAUAUUCUUGUAAUAGGAAUCACGACUUGCAUGUCGAUGAGUAUGACAACCGGCAGGAGCCAUAGGAGUUGUCUUUAUUAUUUUGCAUGACCUGUGUGUCAUUGAAUAACGCCAUGUAAUUUACUUUACUUUGUUGCUAAACGCGUUAGCCAUACAAGUAGAAGUAAUCGUUGGCGUGACAACUUCAUGAAGACACAAUGAUGGAGAUCAUGAUGAUGGAGAUCAUGGUGUCAUGCCGGUGACGAAGAUGAUCAUGGUGCCCCGAAGAUGGAGAUCAAAGGAGCAUGAUGAUAUUGGCCAUAUCAUGUCACUAUUUGAUUGCAUGUGAUGUUUAUCAUGUUUUUGCAUCUUAUUUGCUUAGAACGACGGUAGUAAGUAAGAUGAUCCCUUAUAAUAAUUUCAAGAAAGUGUUCACCCUAACUGUGCACCGUUGCGAAGGUUCGUUGUUUCGAAGCACCACGUGAUGAUCGGGUGUGAUAGAUUCUAACGUUCGAAUACAACGGGUGUUGACGAGCCUAGCAUGUACAGACAUGGCCUCGGAACACACGCAAUACACUUAGGUUGACUUAAAGAGCCUAGCAUGUACAGACAUGGCCUCGGAACACGGAGGACCGAAAGGUCGAGCAUGAGUCGUAUAGAAGAUACGAUCAACAUGGAGAUGUUCACAGAUCUUGACUAGUCCGUCUCACGUGAUGAUCGGACACCGCCUAGUUGAAUUCGGAUCAUGUUUCACUUAGAUGACUAGAGGGAUGUCUAUCUGUGUGGGAGUUCAUCAAAAUAAUUUGAUUAUAUGAACUUAAUUAUCAUGAACUUAGUCUAAAAUCUUUACACUAUGUGUUGUAGAUCAAAUGGCCCACGUUGUCCUCAAUUUCAACGCGUUCCUAGAGAAAACCAAGCUGAAAGAUGAUGGCAGCAACUAUACGGACUGGGUCCGGAACCUGAGGAUCAUCCUCAUAGCAGCCAAGAAAGAUUAUGUCUUAGAAGCACCGCUAGGUGAAGCACCAAUCCCUGAGAACCAAGACGUUAUGAACGCUUGGCAGCAGCGUGCUGAUGAUUACUCCCUCGUUCAGUGCGGCAUGCUUUACAGCUUAGAACCGGGUCUCCAAAAGCGUUUUGAGAAACAUGGAGCAUAUGAGAUGUUCGAGGAGCUGAAACUGGGUUUUCAAGCUCAUGCCCGGGUCGAGAGAUAUGACGUCUCCGACAAGUUCUUCAGCUGUAAAAUGGAGGAGAACAGUUCUGUUAGUGAGCACAUACUCAGAAUGUCUGGGUUGCACAACCGCUUGUCUUAGCUGGGAGUUAAUCUCCCGGAUGACGCGGUCAUUGACAGAAUCCUCCAGUCGCUUCCACCAAGCUAUAAGAGCUUUGUGAUGAACUACAAUAUGCAGGGGAUGGAAAAGACCAUUCCCGAGGUAUAUUCAAUGCUGAAAUCAGCUGAGGUAGAGAUCAGAAAAGAGCAUCAAGUGUUGAUGGUGAAUAAAACCACUAAGUUCAAGAAGGGCAAGGGUAAGAAGAACUUCAAGGACGGCAAGGGAGUUGCCGCGCCCGGUAAGCCAGUUACCGGGAAGAAGUCAAAGAAUGGACCCAAGCCCGAGACUGAGUGCUUUUAUUGCAAGGGAAGUGGUCACUGGAAGCGGAACUGCCCCAAAUAUUUAGCGGACAAGAAGAAGGCCGGCAACACCCAAGGUAUAUGUGAUAUACAAGUAAUUGAUGUGUACCUUACCAGUACUCGUAGUAGCUCCUGGGUAUUUGAUACCGGUGCGGUUGCUCAUAUUUGUAACUCAAAGGAGGAACUACGGAAUAAAUGGAGACUGGCAAAGGACGAGGUGACGAUGCGCGUCGGGAAUGGUUCCAAGGUCGAUGUGAUCGCCGUUGGCACGCUACCUCUGCAUCUACCCACGGGAUUAGUUUUAAACCUCAAUAAUUGUUAUUUAGUGCCAGCUUUGAGCAUGAACAUUGUAUCUGGAUCUCGUUUAAUUCGAGAUGGCUACUCAUUUAAAUCUGAGAAUAAUGGUUGUUCUAUUUAUUUGAGAGAUAUGUUUUAUGGUCAUGCCCCGCUGGUCAAUGGUUUAUUUUUGAUUAAUCUCGAACGUGAUGUUACACAUGUUCAUAGUGUGAAUACCAAAAGAUGUAAAGUUGAUAACGAUGGUCCCACAUACUUGUGGCACUGCCGCCUUGGUCACAUUGGUGUCAAGCGCAUGAAGAAGCUCCAUGCAGAUGGACUUUUGGAGUCUCUUGAUUACGAAUCAUUUGACACGUGCGAACCAUGCCUCAUGGGUAAGAUGACCAAGACUCCGUUCUCCGGAACAAUGGAGCGAGCAACCAACUUAUUGGAAAUCAUACAUACCGAUGUGUGCGGUCCAAUGAGUGUUGAGGCUCGCGGAGGAUAUCGUUAUGUUCUCACUCUCACUGAUGAUUUAAGUAGAUAUGGGUAUGUCUACCUAAUGAAACACAAGUCUGAAACCUUUGAAAAGUUCAAGGAAUUUCAGAGUGAAGUCGAGAAUCAACGUGACAGGAAAAUAAAAUUCUUACGAUCAGAUCGUGGUGGAGAAUAUUUAAGUCACGAAUUUGGUACACACUUAAGGAAAUGUGGAAUAGUUUCACAACUCAUGCCGCCUGGAACACCUCAGAGAAAUGGUGUGUCCGAACGUCGUAAUCGCACUCUAUUGGAUAUGGUGCGAUCUAUGAUGUCUCUUACCGAUUUACCGCUCUCAUUUUGGGGUUAUGCUUUAGAGACUGCCGCAUUCACUUUAAAUAGGGCACCGUCUAAAUCCGUUGAGACGACACCGUAUGAAUUAUGGUUUGGGAAGAAACCUAAGCUGUCGUUUCUAAAAGUUUGGGGAUGCGAUGCUUAUGUCAAGAAACUUCAACCUGAAAAGCUCGAACCCAAAUCGGAAAAAUGCGUCUUCAUAGGAUACCCUAAGGAAACUAUUGGGUAUACCUUCUACCUCAGAUCCGAAGGCAAGAUCUUCGUUGCCAAGAACGGGUCCUUUCUAGAGAAGGAGUUUCUCUCGAAAGAAUUGAGUGGGAGGAAAGUGGAACUUGAUGAGGUGAUAGUCACCCCUUCCGAACCGGAAAGUAGCGCAGCGCGGGAAAAUGUUCCUGUGGUGUCUACACCGACUGGGGACGAAGUUAAUGAUGAUGAUCAAGAAACUUCAGAUCAAGUUACUGAACUUCAUAGGUCCACAAGGACACGUUCCGCACCAGAGUGGUACGGCAACCCUGUCCUGGAAAUCAUGUUGUUAGACAACGGUGAACCUUCGAACUAUGAAGAAGCGAUGGCGGGCCCGGAUUCCGGCAAAUGGCUAGAAGCCAUGAAAUCCGAGAUAGAAUCCAUGUAUGAAAACAAAGUAUGGACUUUGACUGACUUGCCCGAUGAGCGGCGAGCCAUAGAAAACAAAUGGAUCUUUAAGAAGAAGACGGACGCAUAUGGUAAUGUGACCAUCUACAAAGCUCGACUUGUCGCUAAGGGUUAUCGACAAGUUCAAGGGGUUGACUACGAUGAGACUUUCUCACCCGUAGCAAAGCUGAAGUCCGUCCGAAUCAUGUUAGCAAUUGCCGCAUACUAUGAUUAUGAGAUAUGGCAGAUGGACGUCAAAACGGCAUUCCUUAACGGCUUCCUUAAGGAAGAGUUGUAUAUGAUGCAGCCGGAAGGUUUUGUCGAUCCUAAGAAUGCUAACAAAGUAUGCAAGCUCCAGCGCUCAAUCUAUGGGCUGGUGCAAGCAUCUCGGAGUUGGAACAUUCGCUUUGAUGAGAUGAUCAAAGCGUUUGGGUUUACACAGACUUAUGGAGAAUCCUGUGUUUACAAGAAAGUGAGUGGGAGCUCUGUAGCAUUUCUCAUAUUAUAUGUGGAUGACAUACUAUUGAUGGGAAAUAAUAUAGAAUUCAUGGAAAUUAUAAAGGCCUAUUUGAAUAAGUGUUUUUCAAUGAAGGACCUUGGAGAAGCUGCUUAUAUAUUAGGCAUCAAGAUCUAUAGAGAUAGAUCAAGACGCCUCAUUGGUCUUUCACAAAGUACAUACCUUGACAAGAUAUUGAAGAAGUUCAAUAUGGAUCAGUCCAAGAAGGGGUUCUUGCCUGUAUUGCAAGGUGUGCAAUUGAGCAAGGCUCAAUGCCCGACCACGGCAGAAGAUAUAGAAGAGAUGAGUGUCAUCCCCUAUGCCUCGGCCAUAGGGUCUAUUAUGUAUGCCAUGCUGUGUACCAGACCUGAUGUAAACCUUGCCGUAAGUUUGGUAGGAAGGUACCAAAGUAAUCCCGGCAAGGAACACUGGACAGCGGUUAAGAAUAUCCUAAAGUACCUGAAGAGGACUAAGGAUAUGUUUCUCGUUUAUGGAGGUGACGAAGAGCUCGUCGUAAAGGGUUACGUCGACGCUAGCUUCGACACAGAUCUGGAUGACUCGAAGUCACAGACCGGAUACGUGUAUAUUUUGAAUGGAGGAGCAGUAAGCUGGUGCAGUUGCAAGCAAAGCGUCGUGGCGGGAUCUACAUGUGAAGCGGAGUACAUGGCAGCCUCGGAGGCAGCACAGGAAGCAGUCUGGAUGAAGGAGUUCAUUACCGACCUAGGGGUGAUUCCCAAUGCGUCGGGCCCGAUGACUCUCUUCUGUGACAACACUGGAGCUAUUGCCCUUGCGAAGGAGCCUAGGUUUCACAGGAAGACCAGGCAUAUCAAGCGUCGCUUCAACUCCAUUCGUGAAAGUGUUCAAAAUGGAGACAUAGAUAUUUGUAAAGUACAUACGGACCUGAAUGUAGCAGAUCCGUUGACUAAACCUCUCCCUAGGGCAAAACAUGAUCAACACCAGGACGCAAUGGGUGUUCGAUUCAUCACAAUGUAACUAGAUUAUUGACUCUAGUGCAAGUGGGAGACUGUUGGAAAUAUGCCCUAGAGGCAAUAAUAAAUGGUUAUUAUUGUAUUUCUUUGUUCAUGGUAAUUGUCUAUUAUUCAUGCUAUAAUUGUAUUGUCCGGAAAUCGUGAUACAUGUGUGAAUACAUAGACCACAACCUGUCCCUAGUAAGCCUCUAGUUGACUAGCUCGUUGAUCAACAGAUAGUCAUGGUUUCCUGACUAUGGACAUUGGAUGUCAUUGAUAACGGGAUCACAUCAUUAGGAGAAUGAUGUGAUGGACAAGACCCAAUCCUAAGCAUAGCAUAAAAGAUCGUGUAGUUUCGUUUGCUAGAGCUUUUCCAAUGUCAAGUAUCUUUUCCUUAGACCAUGAGAUCGUGCAACUCCCGGAUACCGUAGGAGUGCUUUGGGUGUGCCAAACGUCACAACGUAACUGGGUGACUAUAAAGGUGCACUACGGGUAUCUCCGAAAGUGUUUGUUGGGUUGGCACGGAUCGAGACUGGGAUUUGUCACUCCGUGUGACGGAGAGGUAUCUCUGGGCCCACUCGGUAAUGCAUCAUCAUAAUGAGCUCAAUGUGACUAAGGCGUUAGUCACGGGAUCAUGCAUUGCGAUACGAGUAAAGAGACUUGCCGGUAACGAGAUUGAACAAGGUAUUGGGAUACCGACGAUCGAAUCUCGGGCAAGUAACAUGCCGUUUGACAAAGGGAAUUGCAUACGGAUUGAUUGAAUCCUCGACACCGUGGUUCAUCCGAUGAGAUCAUCGUGGAACAUGUGGGAGCCAACAUGGGUAUCCAGAUCCCGCUGUUGGUUAUUGACCGGAGAGGCGUCUCGGUCAUGUCUGCAUGUCUCCCGAACCCGUAGGGUCUACACACUUAAGGUUCGGUGACGCUAGGGUUGUAGAGAUAUAUGUAUGCGGAAACCCGAAAAGUUGUUCGGAGUCCCGGAUGAGAUCCCGGACGUCACGAGAGGUUCCGGAAUGGUCCGGAGGUGAAGAAUUAUAUAUAGGAAGUCCAGUUCCGGCCACCGGGAAAGUUUUGGGGGUUACCGGUAUUGUACCGGGACCACCGGAAGGGUCCCGGGGGUCCACCGGGUGGGGCCACCUAUCCCGGAGGGACCCGUGGGCUGAAAGUGGAAGGGAACCAGCCCUUAGUGGGCUGGGGCGCCCCCCUUGGGCCUCCCCCCAUGCGCCUAGGGUUGGGAACCCUAGGGGGGAGUUCCCCCUUGCCUUGGGGGGCAAGGCACCCCUUCCCCCCCACUUGGCCGCCGCCCCCCCCUUUGGAUAUGAUCUCCAGGGCCGGAGCCCCCCCAGGGGGCCUAUAUAAAGGGGGGAGGGAGGGCAGCACACAACAGCCUUGGGCGCCUCCCUCNNNNNNNNNNNNNNNNNNNNNNNNNNNNNNNNNNNNNNNNNNNNNNNNNNNNNNNNNNNNNNNNNNNNNNNNNNNNNNNNNNNNNNNNNNNNNNNNNNNNNNNNNNNNNNNNNNNNNNNNNNNNNNNNNNNNNNNNNNNNNNNNNNNNNNNNNAGAUCUCAUCUCUUGGGGCCGGCGCCCCCCCAGGGGGCCUAUAUAAAGGGGGGAGGGAGGGCAGCACACAACAGCCUUGGGCGCCUCCCUCCUCCCCUGCAACACCUCUCUCUCUCUCGCAGAAGCUUAGCGAAGCCCUGCCGAGACCCGCUACAUCCACCACCACGCCGUCGUGCUGCUGGAUCUCCAUCAACCUCUCCUUCCCCCUUGCUGGAUCAAGAAGGAGGAGACGUCGCUGCACCGUACGUGUGUUGAACGCGGAGGUGCCGUCCGUACGGCACUCGGUCAUCGGUGAUUUGGAUCACGGCGAGUACGACUCCGUCAUCCACGUUCAUUGGAACGCUUCCGCUCGCGAUCUACAAGGGUAUGUAGAUGCACUCCUUUCCCCUCGUUGCUAGUAGACUCCAUAGAUGCAUCUUGGUGAGCGUAGGAAAUUUUUUAAAUUAUGCUACGAUUCCCAACAAUCACAACAAGACUCUACGACUCAAAGUAUUUAUUCAUUAGGCUCCGAGGAGCGAGAUAUUACAAACAUGGGUCUCAUGACCCAAGAUUCAGAGCAUACAAGUCAAAGCACAUGCGGAAGCUUAACAUGUCUGAGUACAAACAUCUACAAAUGAAAAAGGCUGAGAAGCCUGACUAUCUACCAGAUCCUGCCGAGGGCACAAGAUCGUAGCUGAGGUAUCAAGCUAAACGUCGAAGUCCACACGGAACUACUAGCAAGACUGACGUCUCUCUGCAAAACAUAAAAUAGGCAAACGUGAGUAUAAAUGUACCCAGCAAGACUUACAUCAGAACUAUCUACAUAUGCAUCGGUAUCAAUAAAGGGGUGGUGGAGUUUAACUGCAGCAAGCCAGCUUUGACUCAGUGGCUAACCUGAACUGCGACUACAAGUAACUCUUUUGAGGUGGCGCACACGAGUCCACAUAUUCACCAUACCAAUACACCACUAUGGAUCCGCCCCCGUCUCCCUACGAGACCGCCAUCUAUAGCACUCACGCUUAUCUUGCGCAUUUUAGAGUAUCCACUUUCACUUGUCUAUGAACUGUACAGGCAACCCAUAAGUCCUUUACCACGGACACGGCUAUUCAAAUAGAUAAUGUUAACCCUGCAGGGGUGUACUUCUUCACACACGCUCUCGCCACUUACCACCAUGUACACAUCGUGUAUCUCGGCAACCUUCAAGCGGAAGCCUGGCGAGGGAGUUGGCCACGACCAGACUAACCACACAAGUCUCUAGUCCAGGUUUAUCGCCUAUUCGGGUUCCAUCCGCAAGGAGAUCCGGCCGGGAUGUCGCUCACGGCCCCAAACGAUGUGUGCAGGGUUCCCAAGCCCACCUCAACGGAUGGAUCUACGCUUGGUACACCGUGCCAGGGUGCCUAGUCUGUCCCAAGCCCACCUGUACCGGGUGCCACUUGGUAGACUACUAACACUACCUACAAACACCAGAAACUAGUUGCAACUCCUGGACGGAGAUCAGGUUGAUUAAUAAGUCGAGAGAGCUUGGAGCGCCCGGAGCCCAAUGUGUGGUAGUAACUGUUCAUGGAUCACAAACACAGAACUCAGUUCCUGAGGAUGGCUGCAAUGAGACAACCCACCAUGUACUCCUACAUGGCCUCUCACCGCUACCUUUACCAAAUCGUGUUCACACACUUAGCUCUCAAUAGUAGGACAUGUUCACCACAUUCCAAUUCAUCCCCGAUGAAUCAGACCUGACUCGACUCUAAGCAAUAGCAUGCAUGACAAACAAGCAUGAAUGAGUAGGCACAACAGGGCUCAAAUAACUCCAACUCAUGCUAGUGGGUUUCAUCUAUUUACUGUGGCAAUGACAGGUCAUGUAGAGGAAGGGGUUCAACUACCGCAGCAUGUAAUAGUUGAAACGUUGUUGUCCUAAUGAAGUAAAAGAGAGCAGGAGCGAGAGAGUGGGAUUGUAUCGGAACGAACAAGGGGCUUUUUCUUGCCUGGCACUUCUGACGAUAGAAUAGUUCUUCAUCGGUGUCAUCGAUCUCAUCGUCGGAACACGUCUACCGAGGGGGAACAACCACCGGCAAACAAGAGGGAACAUAAUCAAUGCAAUGCAACAAUAUGAUGCAUGAUCAUGACAUGGCAAUAUGCUGUGAUUUGAGCUAAUACAACUAACAGCGAGUUAAAUGAAGUUGGUUUGAAUGCAAGAUUCAAAUUCAAACUCCAUAUGUGAUUAUUCAAAUGCCAUUUAAUAGAUUUGACCUGAUCAGCAGGCAUAAGUUGCUCAAACAUGCAUGAAAAUGGUACAUAUGGAUAGAUUUGAUUUUUCUGAUAAUUUUUCAUAUAUAAAUUAUUUCAUUCUGAGCUACGGUUGAUUUUCUAUGAUUUUUAGAAGUUUUAACUAUUUUCUGGAAUUUCCUGAUUAUUUAGAAAUAAACUAAUUCCAGAAAACGUAUUACUGCGUCAGCACUACAUCAGCAUGACAUAAGCGGGUCAACGGUGCAGCCUAGGUCAAACUGACCAGUGGGUCCCGCGUGUCAGUAGCUAAACUAAAUUAGCUAGGUUUAGUUAAUCCUAAUCUAGGUUCAGGGCGGCCCCACCUGUCAUUGAGCCAGGGGAGGUCAAAUCCCUUGGUCAACUGGGGCUAACGCGCCGGCGUUUAGCCGGCGGCGGUAGCAGACACGAUGGAGGGCGCGGGAUUUGCACCCCGGCGACCAAAAGGACGGCGGAGGCCAUCUACGGGGAGCUGGAGGUGCCCCGCUUCCAUUGGUGGUGGUGGUUGGUCCAGAGGUGGCCGGAAUCGUCGCCGGCGACGACGUUGGCGGCUGCCGGAGCUCGGGUGAGCUUGGGUCGUCACUACAAUGAGCAUGGAGGCGCGGGGUUAGCACCUACAUGCUCUACAUGGUGCGGCGAGCAAGGUGGACAUGACGGCCAGGCCGUUGCAUGGUCGGAGUCACGCCGGCGGUGAGCACAGGCGGCGGCGGGUGCGGGUGAGCUCGGUGCGGUGCAUACGGUGCACGAGAGAGGUAACGGAGAGGGGGAGGACGGAGCAGGGCUCACGGCGAUCGCAGCAGGCGUCGAAGCGGGCUCGGGGAAAGCCGGAGCUGAGUGGGGCGGCGAUGGCGAUCUCGGCGGACCGAGGUUGAAGAAGACGGCGGGGACGGCGAUUCGGGGCUUCCGGCGUUGCUUGGAUUGGUGCAGAAGGCGUAGGCAACGGUGGCGGGGCUCGUGGACAGGUCAGUGAGGCAAGGGGGAGGCGGUGGCCAUGGGGAACGGCGACGGUGGCGACGAGCUCCGCUCGGUGGUGCACACGAGAGGGGAGCAGAGGAGGGGUUGGGGUCCAGGGGGAGAGAGGAGAGGUGCAGGGGGGCGAGGGGGAGUGCGUGGCACUCGGGGCUGGCUCCAGAAGCGGCGGAAGCAGGAGGUGGCUCGGGCGCGUGCCGGCGCGCGGUGGCCACACGCCCUCGCCUACUGGCGCGAGGGGGAAGGCGACAGGGAGGCGCUGGUGGGCUGGGCUGUCCAGCUGGGCCGCCAGGUGGGCUGCAACAGGUGCAGAAAGCUGGGCCAGGUAGGUUUUUUUCUCUCUCUCUCUGCUUUCUGUCUUUUAUUUAUUCAGUUUGUUUGAUUUGGUUUAACUACCAAAUCACUUUAUAAACUUCUGAAAUUCAAUAUGUGGACUUAGGGAACUAGUCCAGAGCCACAUACCAACUUUCACAAUUAUUGGACCAAUAUUUAGUAUAUAAUAAAUAUAAGUCCAAUGCAAAUAAUUAUUGGAUUAGCUCAAACUCCAAAAAUAAAUAUUUCUGAGAUUCCAAAAACACUGGUUUGAAUUUUACCUCUUUCCAAUAUUUUCACAGAAUAACAGGAACAUUUUUUGGGACUUAUUUGAGAAGAUUUAAAUGUUGACCAUUUUAAAAGGUUUCUGAGGCUUUGAAAAUUCCCUCAAUUCAAAUUUCAGAAUUUAGACAUGAUGAUCAUGCAAGGACAAGCAAAGGCUAAACUAGGGUUGUGAGAACUCACCCCCACUAAACAAGAAUCUCGUCCCGAGAUUCAAGUCGUGAGGUAAGAAGACAGAGGGACACAAGCUAGUACAAUCUUCACGAUCCAGAUGCCUUUCUCGAGGAUGUUGAUUCAUUGCAUCACCUUGAUCUCGACGUCUUGCUUUGAGAACUACAUCCAACAUGACAACGAGAAGAAACGGAGAAUUUUAGAAGAAUCGAUCUUCUUGAGGUUCGAGCAACUUAGGGUCAUCUUAAUGAUCACAAGAUCAACUCACGGAAUGAGACAUAGAAACAUCUCUGGAGCUGAGAGGGAAAACAUGCAUCAGGAGGGACAGAAGAAAUAAUUUGAUGAGGGUUUCAAAGUAGCGAGGAAACAAUUAUCAUGAUCCCAUAACAGGGCACCUUGGGAGAGGUGACUCGUAAAAUUAUUCCCUUAAGUGGCAAAAAGAAUUACUUUUGAUACAGAGAUCAUUGGAACUCUCUAUACCAGCCUAAGGAAAUUCACAAACGACCGUUUGAAGGAGUUCGGAAGAACGGCACACUCGGACUAGAAUGGAUGAUGUGGACUACCUUGUUGAAGACAACGAAAUGGAUGAUUUUUGCUUAUCAUCGGAAAUGGACGGGACUCAUGGUAAGUCCACCUUUCAAGAUGAACCUGGACAGCAACUGCUGAGAAGGGCAGCCCAUGGAAAAUUGGCACGAUGGGAUGCAAGCUGGGAACAAAAUGCAAAUGUUGGGAAUGUUCCAACCAUCAUAUCUGCCCGAGAUUCAGAUCUGGUUGGUGUCAGGAUAUUCCAGACUCAUCAAGUCUAGAAAGAAAAAUGAAAGUUUGCAACACAAAUCGACGAAAUGAUGUUGCGAGAUUCUCGGGGAAUGAACUACGAUAGCAAGCUCCAAAACAUGAGCUGGUGUUGCUACACGCAUGUGAACACGCUGUCCCAGACAAGCAUGACCACGUAGUAGUCCUAUAAUAAAACACUAUCGAGUUCUGGUUAGGAACCAUCAUUGAGGAUAUCGAAGUCCUUUUAUAAGCCCGGGUUUGCUCUUAAGAAGGAACUUCUUCUCCUUGAACAAAUCAAUCAGUGGCUUGGUGUGCUAGGAAAUACAUAUGGAAUGAAGAUGAUCAGUCUAUCAGACCAUAGAAUACUUCGCACGUGCAUGACUGACUUGGGACGAUUUCAGAGGAAGCAAAAACAAGUUUUCUCGAGUUCACGGCGACAACUUGCAUCAAAUGCACAUGAGUUAGAGGAAGUCACUUCUUUCAUCCAAAUGUAUACCCCAUGAAUGGAACACGAAGGCAAUGCUUAAAAAGUUUCCAACACUAUUUAAUGUUCAACAUGAAUCAUGGACGAGAUAAAAUGUUGCUGAUGGGCUCAACAACAAGUCAUUGGGAUUUCCAUAUAACUGGAAUUCCACAAUUAUGUGAACAUGGUGAUAGCACUGGGCAGAUCCAAGGAUAUAAUGGUGCAUGCUCGAGGGGUCAACCACGAGUAAGACAACAUUACGAAUAUCGUUGGUUCUAACUUGAUUUGACGAUAGCCCAUACUCAAAUCAAAGUUUUUAUAAGACAAUAGGUCGAACAACUGAUCACAGGGACCAAUCGAUGAAGAUAUCAUCUUUCUUCAAUUAACACACAACACAAGAUAUCCCUUUGGAAAUGAACUAAGUUAGGCAAACUUUUAUCUUCCAACUCUCCAAGUUGCUGUUCAUCUUAACCAACUAGCUCAGGGGUAUCCAACACAGAUUCUUGGAGAAGUGGUGGUUUAUAAGAAAACCAACUUGAUCACGAGCUCAACAUAACAGUCAGGGGAUAACCUGGUAACACUUCCGAGAAGAUAUUCGGAAAAUCACAAACCACCGGUAUGUUACUAAGCUCGAGAUCAAUCUUGCUUUUCAGGGCAAGACGAUGUGAUCAAGAGAGUGAUGGAUUGACACAAUCCUAUCUCAUUGAUCGAGGAGUGCACCAGGGAAAAUGGACUAGGUAGCACCAUAAAUCUUAGAAUGAUAGUUCAAUACCAACACGCUAAGAAUGAGAUUAUUGUCCAUUAACUACCAAGCAACACGGUUGCUAGGAGUAUUGAUUUCACACAUCAUGGUUCACUUGUCGGCAUUCCGGUUGCGACAACAGGGGACCGAGGAAUUAAAAAUGAUGGCAAGAAGUAUCACUGCGUCAAGAAUUCAUGAGAGAUGCUGCAAUUCUCAUGGCAAUCCUGACAUAAAGGGAGUAAUACUCCAAGGUAGACAGAACAAAAGCUGGAUUGGCAUUUCGAUCUGCGGAAUACAACUACUUUGACCAGUCCAAGAAAUGGAUGAGGUGCUGGAGUUUGUUUCUCCUAGUCAUUCCGGAAUAGAAUGGCUCGAUGGACCACAAGAAUAAAAGGCAUCGAUAACACGAAUGCACAACUACCGUUGACUAUCAACUGAUAGAUGAUGGUCGGAAUACAACUGAAGAGGGACAACUGAAAGGAACAUAUAACUUUCUGAGUUGUAGAUGCAUAGAUUAGUAUGUCGAACAAAGCUCAACAUAUUUCUUCCGAAUAACCCAUGAGGAAAGGUAGAUCUGGCAGAGUCAUAAUAUAGAAUGGAGAACUCAUCAAGAGCACUCUUGUUAUGAUAUUUUAGUUCAAGGAAGAACUUCUGCCAUAAGCAGUUCAUGGUAUUUGGAAGAAGGAUAUACCACGGACCGCGAGGACUAUCACAAAGGUUACUAAUAUCCUAAAGGAACUAGCAACACUAUCAAUAAGAAGUAGGGUGAACCUUGGGUUCAAGAACCCAGGAAUAGAAUACCUACUAACUAAAUGGCAUCACGGGAUGCUUUCGAGAAUGGUGGCCAGAAUCAUCACAUUAGGAACACUAAUCAUGGAUAGAUUACUAGGUGGUUCCCUAAAACACAUAGGGUCAUAUAAUAGCUCCAACAUAUAUGUCGAGGCAAUAGAGUACCUCAACUCACCGAUUAGUGUGGUUGAACUGGCCCAAAGGGACAUCGGGAAUGGAAAGAAGGGAUUUGCAAAUGCAUCCGACUAUUUAGAAACCUGGGAUGACUCGGACAGCAUAACGGCUGUAAAUGCUCAAAAAGAUUUGAGACAUCCAGCAAAAAUGGUGGCAUAACCACUUAACAUCACAAUAUCAAGGUUCUGAGAUCAAUUGUCAACACACGGAAGUAGUAGAGACUGAACUGAGGCUUAAAUCCAUCAAUCCUAUAAGUCUAUGGAUUAGUAACACGUGAUCCUGAUAGAAAGAUGAGAAGCCUAGUUCUUAAUCCCCGUAGAAAGGAAGAGGUUGACUCAGAUCAGAAGGGCAUAAGGUAAAGGAGUAAAAAGAUCCUUACGUUCCCUUCCACAAUCAAUUCCCUUAUAUAACUAAAGCAUUUCUAGACUCAACUUCGACUAGUUUGGCUUGGUAAUCCUAUAGGCAGUCAGGCUCUGAUACCAAAGCUGUCAGGACCCCGAUUCCAAGUCACAUCGAUCUAGCCGGUAACACCUCAUAUCACUUUGCGGCCUCACGCACGGUAUUCCCACGGGUGUCGCCUUACCAUGGCCCGGGACCGUUUGCGCCUUUUGGCUCAGGUAUAUGAUAGUGUUGCUAGCAUCCAUAUGACAGAGAACCCGGGCCGACAUGACUAGUCGUGAACCCAAAGUGGCACUAACUUACGGGGACAUGCAUACAUGAAUCAACAUCGAGCAUGUCGGUCAGCAGCGUGCGAAUCCGGGCUGUAGCACUAGGCUAACAGGACUCCGGUGAACCGGGCUGUAGCAGGCUAGGCAGGACUCCGGAUGUCACUGCGUGACAUUUCCCCGAAGGGACACACACAGGAACGAAGUGAAUCACAUGCCGGCCAGUCAAGUGUUCCGGAGCAGUAGUGCUGGGCUAGCAGGACUCCGGUGAACCGGGCUGUAGCAGACUACUAUGGCUCAUGGAAGCAGAAGACUACAUUUCCCCAUAAGAGAGGCUACCAAGAAUAAACAACUAGGUUGUCGGAUCCCACACAUACCAAGCAUUUCAAUCAUACACACAAUAUGCUCGAUAUGUGUAAAUACAACAUGGCAUCACAACAAGACUCUACGACUCAAAGUAUUUAUUCAUUAGGCUCCGAGGAGAGAGAUAUUACAAACAUGGGUCUCAUGACCCAAGAUUCAGAGCAUACAAGUCAAAGCACAUGCGGAAGCUUAACAUGUCUGAGUACAGACAUCUACAAAUGAAAAAGGCUGAGAAGCCUGACUAUCUACCAGAUCCUGCCGAGGGCAUAAGAUCGUAGCUGAGGUAUCAAGCUAAACGUCGAAGUCCACACAGAAUUACUAGCGAGACUGACGUCUCUGCAAAACAUAAAAUAGGCAAACGUGAGUACAAAUGUACCUAGCAAGACUUACAUCAGAACUAUCUACAUAUGCAUCGGUAUCAAUAAAGGGGGUGGUGGAGUUUAACUGCAGCAAGCCAGCUUUGACUUAGUGGCUAACCUGAACUACGACUGCAAGUAACUCUUUUGAGGUGGCGCACACGAGUCCACAUAUUCACCAUACCAAUACACCACUAUGGAUCCGCCCCCGUCUCCCUACGAGAACGCCAUCCAUAGCACUCACGCUUAUCUUGCACAUUUUAGAGUAUCCACUUUCACUUGUCUAUGAACUAUACAGGCAACCCAGAAGUCCUUUACCGCGGACACGGCUAUUCGAAUAGAUAAUGUUAACCCUGCAGGGGUGUACUUCUUCACACACGCUCUCGCCACUUACCACCAUGUACACAUCGUGUAUCUCGGCAACCUUCAAGCGGAAGCCUGGCGAGGGAGUCGGCCACGACCUGACUAACCACACAAGUCUCUAGUCCAGGUUUAUCGCCUAUUGAGGUUCCAUCCGCAAGGGGAUCCGGCCGGGGUAUCGCUCACGGCCCCAAACGAUGUGUGCAGGGUUCCCAAGCCCACCUCGACGGAUGGAUCUAUGCUUGGUACAUCGUGCCACGAUGCCUAGUCUGUCCCAAGCCCACCUGUACCGGGUGCCACUUGGUACACUACUAACACUACCUACAAACACCAGAAACUAGUUGCAACUCCUGGACAGAGAUCAGGUUGAUUAAUAAGUUGAGAGAGCUUGGAGCGCCCGGAGCCCAAUGUGUGGUAGUAACUGUUUAUGGAUCACAAACACAGAACUCAGUUCCUGAGGAUGGCUGCAAUGAGACAACCCACCAUGUACUCCUACAUGGCCUCUCACCGCUACCUUUACCAAAUCGUGUUCACACACUUAGCUCUCAACAGUAGGACAUGUUCACCACAUUCCAAUUCAUCCCCGAUGAAUCAGACCUGACUCAACUCUAAGCAAUAGCAGACAUGCCAAACAAGCAUGAAUGAGUAGGCACAUCAAGGCUCAAACAACUCCAACUCAUGCUAGUGGGUUUCAUCUAUUUACUGUGGCAAUGACAGGUCAUGUAGAGGAAGGGGUUCAACUACCGCAGCAUGUAAUAGUUGAAACGUUGUUGUCCUAAUGCAGUAAAAGAGCAGGAGCGAGAGAGUGGGAUUGUACCAGAAUGAACAAGGGGUUUUUGCUUGCCUGGCACUUCUGAAGAUAGUAUAGUUCUUCAUUGGUGUCAUCGAUCUCAUCGUCGGAACACGUCUAUCGAGGGGGAACAACCGCCGGCAAACAAGAGGGAACAUAAUCAAUGCAAUGCAACAAUAUGAUGCAUGAUCAUGACAUGGCAAUAUGCUGUGAUUUGAGCUAAUGCAACUAAUAGCGAGUUAAAUGAAGUUGGUUUGAAUGCAAGAUUCAAAUUCAAACUCCAUAUGUGAUUAUUCAAAUGCCAUUUAAUUGAUUUGACCUGAUCAGCAGGCAUAAGUUGCUCAAACAUGCAUGAAAAUGGUAAUAUGGAUAGAUUUUAUUUUUCUGAUAAUUUUUCAUAUAUAAAUUAUUUCAUUCUGAGCUACGGUUGAUUUUCUAUGAUUUUUAGAAGUUUUAACUAUUUUCUGGAAUUUCCUGGUUAUUUAGAAAUAAACUAAUUCCAGAAAAUGCAUUACUGCGUCAGCACUACGUCAGCAUGACAUAAGAGGGUCAACGGGGCAGCCCAGGUCAAACUGACCAGUGGGUCCCGCGUGUCAGUAGCUAAACUAAAUUAGCUAGGUUUAGUUAAUCCUAAUCUAGGUUAGUUAGCAGGGCGGCCCCACCUGUCAUUGAGCCAGGGAAGGUCAAACCCCUUGGUCAACUGGGGCUAACGCGCUGGUGUUUAGCCGCCGGCGGCAGCAGCCGCGGCGUAGGGCGCGGGAUUUGCACUCCGGCGACCAAAAGGACAGCGGAGGCCAUAUACGGGGAGCUGGAGGUGCGCCGGUGGUGGUUGGUCCGGAGGUGGCUGGAAUCGUCGCCGGCGACGACGUUGGCGGCUGCCGGAGCUCGGGUCGUCGCUACAACGAGCGUGGAGGCACGGGGUUAGCACCUACUUGCUCUACAUGGUGCGGCGAGCAAGGUGGACAUGACGGCCAGGCCGUUGCGUGGCCGGAGUCACGCCGGCGGUGAGCACAGGCGGCAGCGGGUGCGGGUGAGCUCGGUGCGGUGCGUACGGUGCACGAGAGGGGUAACGGAGAGGGGGAGGACGGAGCAGGGCUCACGGCGAUCGCAGCAGGCGUCGAAGCGGGCUCGGGGAAGGCCGGAGCUGAGCGGCGCGGCGAUGGCGAUCUCGGUGGACCGAGGUUGAAGAAGAUGAUGGGGACGGCGAUUCGGGGCUUCCGGCGUUGCUUGGAUUGGUGCAAAAGGCGUAGGCAACGGUGGCGGGGCUCGUGGACAGGUCAGUGAGGCAAGGGGGAGGCGGUGGCCAUGGGGAACGGCGGCGGUGGCGACGAGCUUCGCUCGGUGGUGCGCGCGAGAGGGGAGCAGAGGAGGGGUUGGGGUCCAGGGGGAGAGAGGAGAGGUGCAGGGGGCGAGGGGGAGUGCGUGGCACUCGGGGCUGGCUCCAGAAGCGGCGGAAGCAGGAGGUGGCUCGGGCGCGUGCCGGCGCGCGGUGGCCACACGCCCUCGCCUACUGGCGCGAGGGGGAAGGCGACAGGGAGGUGCUAGUGGGCUGGGCUAUCCAGCUGGGCCGCCAGGUGGGCUGCAACAGGUGCAGAAAGCUGGGCCAGGUAGGUUUCUCUCUCUCUCUCUGCUUUUUGUCUUUUAUUUAUUCAGUUUGUUUGAUUUGGUUUAACUACCAAAUCACUUUAUAAACUUCUGAAAUUCAAUAUGUGGACUUAGGGAACUAGUCCAGAGCCACAUACCAACUUUCACAAUUAUUGGACCAAUAUUUAGUAUAUAAUAAAUAUAAGUCCAAUGCAAAUAAUUAUUGGAUUAGCUCAAACUCCAAAAAUAAAUAUUUCUGAGAUUCCAAAAAUACUGGUUUGAAUUUUACCUCUUUCCAAUAUUUUCACAGAAUAACAAGAACAUUUUUUUGGACUUAUUUGAGAAGAUUUAAAUGUUGACCAUUUUAAAAGGUUUCUGAGGGUUUGAAAAUUCCCUCAAUUCAAAUUUCAGAAUUUAGACAUGAUGAUCGUGCAAGGACAAGCAAAGGCUAAACUAGGGUUGUGACAGGAAUGCAGUUUUGUUUGUCCAUUUGCCAGAUUUCAUAAAAUGCUGCAAUUGCUAACAUGAUUCGGAUAGACUUAAGCAUCACUACGAGUGAGAAAAACUCAUCGUAGUCAACACCUUGAACUUGUCGAAAACCUUUCGCGACAAGUCGAGCUUUGUAGAUUGUAACACUACCAUCAGCAUCCGUCUUCCUCUUGAAGAUCCAUUUUUCUCAAUGGCUUGCCGAUCAUCGGCCAAGUCAACCAAAGUCCAUACUUUGUUCUCAUACAUGGACCCCAUCUCAGAUUUUAUGGCCUCAAGCCAUUUCGCGGAAUCUGGGCUCAUCAUCACUUCCUCAUAGUUUGUAGGUUCGUCAUGGUCUAGUAACAUGACUUCUAGAAUAAUAUUACUGUACCACUUUGGUGCGGACCGUACUCUGGUUGACCUACAAGGUUUAGUGGUAACUUGAUCUGAAGUUUCAUGAUCAUCAUCAUUAGCUUCCUCACUGAUUUUUGUAGGAAUCACUGGAACUGAUUUCUGUGAUGUACUACUUUCCAACUCGGGAGAAGGUACAAUUACCUCAUCAAGUUCUACUUUCCUCCCACUCACUUCUUUCGAGAGAAACUCCUUCUCUAGAAAGGAUCCAUUCUUAGCAACAAAUAUCUUGCCUUCGGAUCUGUGAUAGAAGGUGUACCCAACAGUUUCUUUUGGGUAUCCUAUGAAGACGCACUUCUCUGAUUUGGGUUCGAGCUUAUCAGUUUGAAACUUUUUCACAUAAGCAUCGCAACCCCAAAAUUUAAUAAACGACAUCUUUGGUUUCUUGCCAAACCAUAGUUCAUACGGUGUCGUCUCAACGGAUUUAGGUGCCCUAUUUAACGUGAAUGCAUCUAUCUCUAAUGCAUAACCCCAAAACGAUAGUGAUAAAUCGGUAAGAGACAUGAUAGAUCGCACCAUAUCUAAUAAAGUACGGUUAUGACGUUCGGACACACCAUUACGCUGUGGUGUUCCAGGUGGCGUGAGUUGUGAAACUAUUCCACAUUGUUUCAAAUGAAGACCAAACUCGUAACUCAAAUAUUCGUCUCUGCUAUCAGAUCGUAGAAACUUUAUUUUCUUGUUACGAUGAUUUUCCACUUCACUCUGAAAUUCUUUGAACUUACCAAAUGUUUCAGACUUAUGUUUCAUCAAGUAGAUAUACCUAUAUCUGCUCAAAUCAUCUGUGAAGGUCAGAAAAUAAUGAUACCCGCCGCGAGCCUCAACACUCAUCGGACCGCAUACAUCAGUAUGUAUUAUUUCCAAUAAGUCAGUUGCUCGCUCCAUUGUUCCGGAGAACGGAGUCUUAGUCAUUUUGCCCAUGAGGCAUGGUUCGCAAGCAUCAAGUGAUUCAUAAUCAAGUGAUUCCAAAAGCCCAUCAGCGUGGAGUUUCUUCAUGCGCUUUACACCAAGAUGACCUAAACGGCAGUGCCACAAAUAAGUUGCACUAUCAUUAUUAACUUUGCAUCUUUUGGCUUCAAUAUUAUGAAUAUGUGUAUCACUACGAUCGAGAUUCAAUAAACCAUUUACAUUGGGUGUAUGACCAUAGAAGGUUUUAGUCAUGUAAUCAGAAUAACAAUUAUUCUUUGACUUAAAUGAAUAACCGUAUCACCAUAAACAUGAUCCAAUCAUAUUCAUGCUCAACGCAAACACCAAAUAACAUUUAUUUUAGGUUCAACACUAAUCCCGAAGGUAAAGGGAGUGUGCGAUGGUGAUCUUAUCAACCUUGGAAUCACUUCCAACACACAUCAUCACCUCACCCUUAACUAGUCUCUGUUUAUUUUGCAAGUCCUGUUUUGAGUUACUACUCUUAGCAACUGAACCAGUAUCAAAUAUCGAGGGGUUGCUAUAAACACUAGAGUACACAUCAAUAACAUGUAUAUCACUUUUCCAUCCUUCUUAUCCGUCAAGUAUCUAGGGUAGUUCCACUUCUAGUGACCAUUUCCUUUGCAGUAGAAGCACUCAGUUUCAGGCUUGGGUCUAGAUUUGGGUUUCUUCAUGGGAGUGGCAACUUGCUUGCCAUUCUUCUUGAAGUUCCCUUUCUUUCCCUUUGCCCUUUUCUUGAAACUAGUGAUCUUGUUAACCAUCAACACUUGAUGCUUUUCUUGAUUUCUACCUUCGCCGAUUUCAGCAUCGCGAAGAGCUCAGGAAUCGUUUUCGUCAUCCCUUGCAUAUUAUAGUUCAUCACGAAGUUCUAGUAACUUGGUGAUAGUGACUAGAGAACUCUAUCAAUCACUAUUUUAUCUGGAAGAUUAACUCCCACUUGAUCCAAGCGAUUGUAGUACUCAGACAUUCUGAGAACAUGCUCACUGGUUGAGCUAUUCUCGUCCAUCUUGUAGGCAAAGUACUUGUCAGAGGUCUCAUACCUCUCGACUCGGGCAUGAGUAUGAAAUACUAAUUUCAGCUCUUGGAACAUCUCAUAUGCUCUGUGACACUUCAAAACAUUUUUUAAGUCCCGGUUCUAAGCCGUAAAGCAUGGUGCACUAAACUAUCAAGUAGUCAUCAUACCGAGCUUGUCAAACGUUCAUAACGUUUGCAUCUGCUCCUGCAAUAGUUCUAUCACCUAGCGGUGCAUCAAGGACAUAAUUCUUCUGUGCAGCAAUGAGGAUAAUCCUCAGAUCACGGACCUAGUCCGCAUCAUUGCUACUAUCAUCUUUCAACAUAGUUUUUCUCUAGGAACAUAUAAAAAAUAAACGGGGAGCUACAUCGCGAGCUAUUGAUCUUCAACAUAGAUAUGCUGAUACUAUCAGGACUAAGUUCAUGAUAAAUUAAAGUUCAAUUAAUCAUAAUACUUAAGAACUCCCACUUAGAUAGACAUCCCUCUAGUCAUCUAAAUGAUCACGUGAUCCAUAUCAACUAAACCAUGUCCGAUCAUCACGUGAGAUGGAGUAGCUUUCAAUGGUGAACAUCACUAUGUUGAUCAUAUCUACUAUAUGAUUCACGCUCGACCUUUUGGUCUCAGUGUUCCGAGGCCAUAUCUGCAUAUGCUAGGCUCGUCAAGUUUAACCCGAGUAUUCUGCGUGUGCAAAACUGGCUUGCACCUGUUGUAUGUGAACGUAGAGCUUAUCACACCCGAUCAUCACGUCGUGUCUCAGCACGAAGAACUGUCGCAACGGUGCAUCUUCAGGGAGAACACUUAUACCUUGAAAUUUAGUAAGGGAUCAUCUUAUAAUGCUACCGCCGAACUAAGCAAAAAAAGAUGCAUAAAGGAUAAACAUCACAUGCAAUCAAUAUAAGUGAUAUGAUAUGGCCAUCAUCAUCUUGUGCCUUUGAUCUCCAUCUCCAAAGCACCGUCAUGAUCACCAUAGUCACCGGCUUGACACAUUGAUCUCCAUCGAAGCAUCGUUGUCGUCUCGCCAACUAUUGCUUCUACGACUAUCUCUACCACUUAGUGAUAAAGUAAAGCAAUUAGAUGGCGAUUGCAUUUCAUACAAUAAAGCGACAACCAUAUGGCUCCUGCCAGCUGCCGAUAACUGUGUUACAAAACAUGAUCAUCUCAUACAACAAUUUAUAUAAUCACGUCUUGACCAUAUCACAUCACAACAUGACCUGCAAAAACAAGUUAGACGUCCUCUACUUUGUUGUUGCAAGUUUUACGUGGCUGCUACGGGCUUAGCAAGAACCGUUCUUACCUACGCAUCAAAACCACAACGAUUUUUCAUCAAGUUUGCUGCUUUAACCUUCAACAAGGAUCGGGCGUAGUCACACUUGAUUCAACUAAAGUUGGAGAAACAGACACCCACUAGCCACCUGUGUGCGAAGCACGUCGGUAGAACUAGUCUCGCGUAAGUGUACGCGUAAUGUCGGUCUGAGCUGCUUCAUCAAAAAAUACCGUCGAAUCAAAGUAUGACAUGCUGGUAAGCAGUAUGACUAUUAUCGUCCACAACUCUUUGUGUUCUACUCGUGCAUAUAACAUCUACGCAUAGACCUGGCUUCGAUGCCACUGUUGGGGAACGCAGUAAUUUCACAAAAUUUCCUACGAUCACGCAAUAUCUAUCUAGGUGAUGCAUAGCAACGAGCGGGAGAGUGUGUCCACGUACCCUCGUAGACGGAAAGCGGAAGCGUUUAGUAACGCGGUUGAUGUAGUCGAACGUCUUCGCGAUCCAACCGAUCCAAGUACCGAACGUACGGCACCUCCGUGUUCAGCACAUGUUCAGCUCGGUGACGUCCCUCGAACUCUUGAUCCAGUUGAGGCCGAGGGAGAGUUUCGUCAGCACGAGGGCGUGGUGACGGUGAUGAUGAAGUUACCGGGCAGGGCUUCGCCUAAGCACUAUGACGAUAUGACCGAGGUGUGUAACUGUGGAGGGGGGCAUCGCACACGGCUAAGAGAUUGUCUGUUGUGCUAUUAGGGUGCCCCCUGGCCACGUAUAUAAAGGAGGGAGGAAGAGGAGGCCGGCCUAGGAGAGGCGCGCCUAUAGGGGGAGUCCAACUAGGAUUCCCAAUCCUAGUUGGAGUCCCCUUCCUUUUCCAAGAGGGGAGAGAGGGAAGGAGUAGGAGAGGGAGAAGGAAAGAGAGGGGGUGCCGCCCCCUCCUCCAAUUCAGACUUGCCAUAGGGGGGCGCGCGGCCACCCCUUGAGGCCCUUCUCUCCUUUCCCGUAUGGCCCAUUAAGGCCCACUACUUCCCCCGGCGAAUUCCUGUAACUCUCUGGUACUCUGAAAAAUACCCGAAUCACUCGGAACCUUUCUGAUGUCCGAAUAUAGCCUUCCAAUAUGUCAAUAUUUACGUCUCGACCAUUUCGAGACUCCUCGUCAUGUCCGUGAUCUCAUCCGGGACUCCGAACAACCUUCGGUACAUCAAAUCACAUAACUCAUAAUACAAAUUGUCAUCGAACGUUAAGCGUGCGGACCCUACGGCUUUGAGAACUAUGUAGACAUGACCGAGACACAUCUCUGGUCAAUAACCAAUAGCGGAACCUGGAUGCUCAUAUUGGCUCCUACAUAUUCUACGAAGAGCUUUAUCGGUCAAACCACAUAACAACAUACGUUAUUCCCUUUGUCAUCGGUAUGUUACUUGCCCGAGAUUCGAUCGUCGGUAUCUCAAUACCUAGUUCAAUCUCGUUACCGGCAAGUCUCUUUACUUGUUUCAUAAUGCAUCAUCCCACAACUAACUCAUUAGUCACAUUGCUUGCAAGGCUUAUAGUGAUGUGCAUUACUGAGAGGGCCCAGAGAUACCUCUCCGACAAUCGGAGUGACAAAUCCUAAUCUCGAUCUAUGCCAACUCAACAAACACCAUCGGAGACACCUGUAGAGCAUCUUUAUAAUCACCCAGUUAUGUUGUGACGUUUGAUAGCACACAAAGUGUUACUCCAGUAUUUGGGAGUUGCAUAAUCUCAUAGUCAUAGGAACAUGUAUAAGUCAUGAAGAAAGCAAUAUCAACAAACUAAACGAUCAAGUGCUAAGCUAACGGAAUGGGUCAAGUCAAUCACAUCAUUCUCUAAUGAUGUGAUCCCGUUAAUCAAAUGACAACUCAUGUCUAUGGCUAGGAAACUUAACCAUCUUGGAUUCAACGAGCUAGUCAAGUAGAGGCAUACUAGUGACACUCUACUUGUCUAUGUAUUCACACAUGUACUAAGUUUCCGGUUAAUACAAUUCUAGCAUGAAUAAUAAACAUUUAUCAUGAUAUAAGGAAAUAUAAAUAACAACUUUAUUAUUGCCUCUAGGGCAUAUUUCCUUCAGAAACCUUGGCCUUCGUGUCAAUAGGCGUGGGGACGGGCUUGCAGUUAAGCAUGCCUACCCGCUCAAGAAGGUCCUGCGCAUACUGCUGCUGGUGGAGAAAGAACCCGUCGGCGCGUCGUACCACCUCAAUACCGAGGAAGUAGUGCAACGGGCCGAGGUCCUUAAUGGCGAACUCGGCGCUGAGGCGAGCAGUAUGCUGGCGAAGGAGCUCUGGGGAGGAGGCCGUCAGAAUGAUGUCAUCGACGUAAAGGAGCAGGUAAGCGGUCGCCGGAGCCUGGUGGUAGAAAAACAGCGAGGCGUCGGAGCGAGUAGCUCGGAACCCAAGCUGAUGCAGGAAGCCGGUGAUCCACGGGUACCAGGCUCGAGGGGCCAGCUUCAACCCGUAUAAGGAGCGGGAGAGCAAGCACACGUGGUCAGGACGAGCCGCGUCGACGAAGCCAGUAGGCUGCUGACAGAAGACUUGCUCCGAGAGAUGGCCAUGUAAGAACGCGUUCGACACAUCCAUCUGAUGCACCGGCCAGGCGCGAGAGACCGUGAGGUGAAGGACCGCGCGAAUCAUGCCCGGUUUGACAACCGGGGCGAAGGUGUCGGUGAAGUCGACUCCAGCACGCUGCCGGAACCCGCGUACCACCCACCGAGCCUUAUAGCGCUCGAGAGACCCGUUAGGACGAGUCUUAUGCCGGAAGACCCACUUGCCAGUGAUGACGUUGGCAUGGGCGGGCCGCGAGACAAGCUGCUAGGUGCGGUUGCGCACCAGCGCGUCGAACUCCUCCUUCAUCGCAGUGAGCCAAUGCGGAUCGUGAAGCGCGGCUCGAGCUGGCGACGGGAGGGGUGACGGUGCAGACGUCGAGGCAGCGAGGAGGUACUAAUCCGCGGAAUAGCACGUGCGGGGUCGGUGAAUGCCGGCGCGAGCACGGGCGACCAUGCGGGUGUCCGGGGCGGCCGGCGGGCCUUGGGGAUGCCCCGGAAGGCAUCCCAUCUUUCUUCAACAAGUAUCGGUAUGUUUUCGGAUUCGUUUCGUUCAUGCGAUAUGUACAAAUCUUGAAGCGUCUUUUGCAUUUAGAUUUCAUUUUUCUUUUAUGCACCAUGCUGGUAUGAGAUAGUCCAUGGUUGAUUUAUAGAAUGCCCUUUGCACUUCACUUAUAUCUUUUGAGUAUGGCUUUAUAGAAUGCUUCAUGUGCUUCACUUAUAUCAUUUGAAGUUUGGAUUGCCUGUUUCUCUUCACAUAGAAAACCGCCAUUUGUAGAAUGCUCUUUUGCUUCACUUAUAUUUGUUAGAGCGUGGGCAUAUCUUUUGUAGAAAGAAUUAAACUCUCUUGCUUCACUUAUAUCUAUUUAGAGAGAUGACAGGAAUUGGUCAUUCACAUGGUUAGUCAUAAAAUCCUACAUAAAACUUGUAGAUCACUGAAUAUGAUAUGUUUGAUUCCUUGCAAUAGUUUUGCGACAUAAAGAUGGUGAUAUUAGAGUCAUGCUAGUGGGUAGUUGUGGAUUGUAGAAAUACUUGUGUUGAAGUUUUUGAUUCCCGUAGCAUGCACGUAUGGUGAACCGUUAUGUAACGAAGUUGGAGCAUGAGGUAUUUAUUGAUUGUCUUCCUUAUGAGUGGCGGUCGGGGACGAGCGAUGGUCUUUUCCUACCAAUCUAUCCCCCUAGGGGCAUGCGUAGUAGUACUUUGCUUCGAGGGCUAAUAAACUUUUGCAAUAAGUAUAUGAGUUCUUUAUGACUAAUGUGAGUCCAUGGAUUAUACGCACUCUCACCCUUCCAUCAUUGCUGGCCUCUUCGGUACCGUGCAUUGCCCUUUCUCACCUCGAGAGUUGGUGCAAACUUCGCCGGUACAUCCAAACCCCGUGAUAUGAUACGCUCUAUCACACAUAAGCCUCAUUAUAUCUUCCUCAAAACAGCCACCCACCUACCUACCAUGGCAUUUCCAUAGCCAUUCCGAGAUAUAUUGCCAUGCAACUUCCAUCAUCAUCAUAUACGUGACUUGAGCAUUUAUUGUCAUAUUGCUUUGCAUGAUCGUAAGAUAGCUAGCAUGAUGUUUUCAUGGCUUGUCCGUUUUUUUAUGUCAUUGCUACGCUAGAUCAUUGCACAUCCCGGUACACCGCCGGAGGCAUUCAUAUAGAGUCAUAUCUUUGUUCUAGUAUCGAGUUGUAAUAUUGAGUUGUAAGUAAAUAAAAGUGUGAUGAUCAUCAUUAUUAGAGCAUUGCCCCAAGAAAAAAAAGGAGGCCAAAGAAGCCUAUAUAAAAAAGGGGGCCAAAGAAGCCCGCAAAAAAAAGAAAAAAAAAGAGGAAAAAAGAAAAAAAGAAAAAGGGGCAAUGUUACUAUCCUUUUACCACACUUGUGCUUCAAAGUAGCACCAUGUUCUUCAUAUAGAGAGUCUCUUGAGUUAUCACUUUUAUAUACUAGUGGGAAUUUUCAUUAUAGAACUUGGCUUGUAUAUUCCGAUGAUGGGCUUCCUCAAAUGCCCGAGGUCUUCAUGAGCAAGCAAGUUGGAUGCACACCUGUAACACCCACGAUGCGGUUAUAUCUCCCACGUGUCGAGGCACGACUUAGAGGCAUAACCGCAUUGUGGUUUUGUCGCAAGAAGGGUCAUCUUCAUACAAUCCCAUGUAAUGAACAAGAAUGGGAUAAAGAGUUGGCUUACAAUCGCCACUUCACACAAUACAUAAAUAAAUCAUACAUCAAUGAGAGUACACACAUAGGUCCGACUACGGAACCAAAAUAAAAGAAGACGACCCCAAAUGUCAGAUCCCUGAUCGUCCCAAUUGGGCUCCACUACUGAUCAACAGGAAAUGAAACAUAUUAACGACCAAGUUCUUCAUCGAGCUCUCGCUUGAGCUGGGUGGCAUCGCCUCCACUGGUAUCAUCGGCACCUGCAACUAUUUUGGAAGUAUCUGUGAGUCACGAGGACUCAGCAAUCUCACACUCGCGAGAUCAAGACUAUUUAAGCAAGUUAAAUGAGGCCGGAAACAAUAAACAACAAUUCCGGAAAAUCCUCAUGACCAUAUUUUAGAUUUGGUACUGUUCUGCCUAAAACCAUAUUUUAUUGUUGUUAAACAGGAAAAUAAAGUGCAACAUGUUAAUCUAUGCAUUUUCCUACCCCAUUUACAUAUCAAGUUUAUUUAAAAUGGAGCUACGGUUAUUUAGUUAUGAAAUAAAUCAUUUUAACAUGGCAUUUGAGCAAAUUAAAGCAAACAGCAAUUUAAACAUUUCAAACAUGGAUGAAAGUAGCAUAUUAUGAAACUAGACAAAAUUCUAAACAUUUUACAUGUUUAAAUCAUUUUAAUCCGAUGCAUGGUUGUUGAGUUAUUAUAUGCAUGAACAACAUGGGGCAAACUGUAAAUAUGCAGUUUUCUGAACAAAUAGGAAAAUCGCAGCGCACAGGAAAAAAACAUAUGCGGGCUGGAUCUGCUGGAUGUGGCUGGACUGCUCACCAUGGGCCGAGCCCGUUGGUGAGGAGGUGGAGGCAGGCCGCAGGGCGCAGGCUGGGCCUUGGCGCGCAGGAGGGAGUUGGCGGUCCAGCGUGCGAAGCACAGGGGCGAGCAGCUCGAGUUGCUGUUGCUCGUUUCUGAAGAACAGAAACAGCAGCAGGGGAACAGCGGCGCGAUGCAGGGGAACGGCAAGGCCGGAUGGAUCCACCUCGGACCCGGCGAGGCAGCUUGAGCUCGGCGGCUGGACUCGAAGACGGGCUGGGCGCGGGCGUUCCUCCUCCCUGCAACGAGGACGAGACGCGAGGUAGACGAGCUGGUCGCCGAACCAGAGCGACGACGGCGGCCUUCGACGGGAACGGGGCUGGAGGAGGUCGUGGGGGUCGGGAAAAGGCGCGGCGGCGGUGACCCCCUCCAGAUCCGGCACGGUUUGGGAUUUGGCAAGCCCGCACGAGGUGGAACUUGGGAACGGCGACUCCUGUCCAUGGCGUCGGGGCAGAGCUCCUUUGGUUCCUGUGGAAGCAGGAGAAGGAGAGAGAGAGGGAUUAGAGCAGAGAAGGGAGUAGAAGGCAGGGAAGGAGAAGAAGGGGCCCAGGUGAGGGCGACGGUCUGGUCGAUGAGGGCGACGGCCUGGUGGAUGAGGUCGCCGGCGGCGACGGGGCUGGCGAGGACGAGGGCUAUGGCCUCAGGGCAGGUGAGGAAGGCGCGAGGAGGCAGAGGAGGCCGCAUGGGACUGCCUGGGUGACGACGACGGCUGGGACAAGGGUGACGGGGAGCUGCAGGAGGAACUCGGGCAGAGACAGAGGGGCGCCGGAAAUCGGGCAUUGUGGUGCUCUGCUCCCCGGCGAGCUCAAGCGAGGCAAGGGGAUCCACGGGCUCGAGGAGACGCAGAGGAGGCCGAGGCAGGGAACGACGAGGUGGUGGCUGCUCCUGGGAUCGAGCGAGGACGAGGGAAGCAGAGGAGACCGCGGUGCCUUCGGGAUUGGUUGGAGGAGGAAACCGGGGAGAAGGGGAUCUGGGAGGAUCCCAAGGGAGAGAGUGGCGGCGGCGGGUGAGGGAUUGGAUGGAUGGGACAAGGCCCCUAGGAUCUAGGGUUGGACCUAUAUAUAUGAAAAAGGAAGGAAGUUUUGAUCUUCCGAUCGAAAUUCGAUGAACGAGAAUAAAUAGGUUAGAGAGUCCAAUAAAUAAAACGAUGAUAUUUUGGGGAUGUUUGGGGAUGAGCCGAAUCCAACGAUGACGACUGAGCGGUUCGGGUCCGGAGAAGUUUUCGGACACAGGCGAGGGGUCGAUGAAAUUUGCAGAGAGACGGGACAUAUAGACGAGAGGGGAAAUCAAAGACAACGGGGUCUGACAAAAGGCCACGAAGAAGACAAGGGAGAGAAGCGGCAACCACGAACGACUACGAAUUUUAUGAAAACAUGCGGAUGCAAUGCUCAUGGUGACAUGAUGAAAUGCAACAUACAAAUAAAACACACGGCGGUCACACAAAACAUGGAAGGCGUCUGGAGCGUCGGUCUCGGGGCGUUACAACACCCACUUAGUUUCCAGUUUGAGCUUUCAUACACUUAUAGCUCUUAGUGCAUCCGUUGCAUGGCAAUCCCUACUCCUCACAUUGACAUCAAUUGAUGGGCAUCUCCAUAGCCCGUUGAUUAGUCGCGUCGAUGUGAGACUUUCUCCUUUUUUGUCUUCUCCACACAACCUCCACCAUCAUAUUCUAUUCCACCCAUAGUGCUAUGUCCAUGGCUUGCGCUCAUGUAUUGCGUGAGGGUUGAAAAGGCUGAAGCGCGUUAAAAAGUAUGAACCAAUUGCUCGGCUUCUCAUCGGGGAUGUGCAUGAUGUGAAUAUUUUGUGUGGUGAAGAUGGAGCAUAGCCAGACCAUAUGAUUCUAUAGGGAUAACUUUCUUUGGCCAUGUUAUUUUGAAAAGACAUGAUUGCUUUUAUUAGUAUGCUAUUAUUGUCUUAAUGUCAAAUGAUAGACUAUUGCUUUGAAUCACUUGUGUCUUAAUAUUCGUGCCAUGAUUAGAUUAUGUGAUCAAGAUUAUGCUCGGUAUCAUUCCACAUCAAAAAUUAUCUUUUUUAUCAUUUACCUACUCGAGGACGAGCAGGAAUUAAGCUUGGGGAUGUUGAUACGUCUCCGUCGUAUCUAUAAUUUUUGAUUGUUCCAUGCCAAUAUUCUACAACUUUCAUAUACUUUUGGCAUCUUUUUAUACUAUUUUUGGGACUAACAUAUUAUUCCAGUGCCCAGUGCUAGUUCCUGUUUGUUGCAUGUUUUUUGUUUCGCAGAAAAUCCAUAUCAAACGGAGUCCAAACGGGAUAAAAACUGACGGAGAUUUUUUUUGGAAUAUUUGUGAUUUUUGGGAAGAAACAACGCGAUACGAUGCCCGAGGGGGCCACGAGGCAGGGGGGCGCGCCCUGGAGCCUCAUGGCCACCUCGUAAGGCGGUUGAAGCCCUUUUUUCGCUGCAAGAAAGCUAAUUUCCAGAUAGAGAUCGUGUCCAAAAUUCAGCCCAAUCGGAGUUACGGAUCUCCGGUUAUAAAAAAACGGUGAAAGGCCAGAUCUGGGAACGCAGAAACAGAGAGAGACAGAGAGACAGAUCCAAUCUCGGAGGAGUUCUCGCCCCUCCCAUGCCAUGGAGGCCAUGGACCAGAGGGGAAACCCUUAUCCCAUCUAGGGAGAAGGUCAAGGAAGAAGAAGAAGAAGGGGGGCUCUCUCCCCCUCGCUUCCGGUGGCGCCAGAACACUGCCGGGGCCAUCAUCGUCACCGCAAUCUUCACCAACACCGCCGUCAUCUUCACCAACAUCUUCAUCACCUUCCCCCAUCUAUCUAUAGUGGUCAACUCUCCCGCAACCCGCUGUACCCUCUACUUGAACAUGGUGCUUUAUGCUUCAUAUUAUUAUCCGAUGAUGUGUUGCCAUCCUAUAAUGUCUGAGUAGAUUUUCGUUGUCCUAUUGGUAAUUGGUGAAUUGCUAUGACUGGUUUAAUUUGCUUGUGGUUAUGUUGUUGUCCUUUGGUGCCCAUCAUAUGAGCACGCGCGUGGAUCACAUCAUAGGGUUAGUUGUAUGUUGAUAGGACUAUGUAUUGGAGGGCAAGAGUGACAGAAGCUUCAACCUAGCAUAGAAAUUGAUGCAUACGGGAUUGAAGGGGGGCCAAUAUAUCUUAAUGCUAUGGUUGGGUUUUACCUUAAUGAACGUUAGUAGUUGUGGAUGCUUGCUAAUAGUUCCAAUCAUAAGUGCAUAGAAUUCCAAGUCAGGGAUGACUUGCUAGCAGUGGCCUCUCCCACAUAAAACUUGCUAUCGGUCUAGCAAAGUAGUCAAUUGCUUAGGGACAAUUUCACAACUCCUACCACCACUUUUCCACACUCGCUAUACUAAAUUUAUUGUGUCUUUAUCUAAACAGCCCCUAGUUUUUAUUUACGCGCUCUUUAUUAUCUUGCAAACCUAUCCAAAAACACCUACAAAGUACUUCUAGUUUCAUACUUGUUCUAGGUAAAGCGGACGUCAAACGUGCGUAGAGUUGUAUCGGUGAUCGAUAGAACUCGAGGGUAUAUUUGUUCUACCUUUAGCUCCUCGUUGGGUUCGACACUCUUACUUAUCGAAAGAGGCUACAAUUGAUCCCCUAUACUUGUGGGUUAUCACGAACCCCCGACGUUGUCGAACUCCUUCCCGUUGUCAGUCUGCAAGGCAUGAAUGGGACGCCCAAACUGCGUAGCGACAUAGGAGUAAAAGGUAGUGAGAACGGAGAGUGCAUCGGAUUUUCUCUGCAACGGGAAGGUCCACACAUAAUGCGAAAAAUCAUCGAGUAUGAUAAGAUAGUAUAAAAAACCCGUAUUACUGGCAACAGGAGAUGUCCAUAAGUCACUAUGAAUCAACUCAAAUGGAUACGACGCCACCGAUGAGGACACACUAAACGGAAGAUGGACGUGCUUGCCGAGACGACAAGCAUGACAAGUAUGAUCAUCGGUUUUAUUACACAUGAAUGAAAAAGUCCUAAGAAUAUGACGAAGGGUGGCCGGGUUCGGAUGUCCCAGCCGAGCAUGCCAAAGGUCCACUGUGGCGGAGAGAGCGACCGGAGCGGAUGUGGAGGUGUUGGUGGAGUGCACCGGGUAGAGGUCGUCCGGGCUGUCACAUCGAUGGAGUACCAUCCGGGUACAGGCGUCCUUGACAGAAAAACCCACUUUGUCAAAUUCAACAGUUAUAGGAUUUUCACGUGUAAGAGAACGAAUGGAAACAAGAUUGGUGACUAACUCAGGUGAAACUAAGACAUUAGACAUAUGUAUAGGCAUGGAGUUAGAUGGAAAAGAACCAUGACCGACAUGAGUAAUGGGAAGGGAUGAACCGUCCCCAACAGUGAUACGACAUGUGGUAGAAACUAGAUAUGCGGAGUUGAGGUUACCAGGGUUGGAAGUCAUGUGGGCGGUAGCCCUAGUGUCCAUAUACCAGUCGCCGCCUCUGGUGUAUGUGUUGGGUGUAGGAGCGGAGUGAAGUGCCAUGAGAAGGGCCGGAUCGCAGGGUGCCGGCGGGAGUGCACCGGCCACGGCAGGGGGCGCGGCGGGGUAGGCGAGUAGGGCCGCGGGGUAGCUGCCUGGUGCAGCGUACACAGGCGCGGCAGCGGGGUAGCCACCUGGGGUGGCGAACAUCUCCUGAUGGGCGCUGGGGCGGGGGCCGAGGAUCCCGGCCGGGACGGGGGCCCGCNNNNNNNNNNNNNNNNNNNNNNNNNNNNNNNNNNNNNNNNNNNNNNNNNNNNNNNNNNNNNNNNNNNNNNNNNNNNNNNNNNNNNNNNNNNNNNNNNNNNNNNNNNNNNNNNNNNNNNNNNNNNNNNNNNNNNNNNNNNNNNNNNNNNNNNNNNNNNNNNNNNNNNNNNNNNNNNNNNNNNNNNNNNNNNNNNNNNNNNNNNNNNNNNNNNNNNNNNNNNNNNNNNNNNNNNNNNNNNNNNNNNNNNNNNNNNNNNNNNNNNNNNNNNNNNNNNNNNNNNNNNNNNNNNNNNNNNNNNNNNNNNNNNNNNNNNNNNNNNNNNNNNNNNNNNNNNNNNNNNNNNNNNNNNNNNNNNNNNNNNNNNNNNNNNNNNNNNNNNNNNNGUGCUACUAUUGCUACUUCUUGCCACGACGCCCCCCACGGCGAUGAUCGGGGGCAGGGGCGGCGGCUGGUACGCCGGCGGCGGAGGCGCCUGGAAGUAGGCCGCCGGUGACAGCGGAGGCCGCGGUGGCUGCGGAGCCGUGGGAGGAGCGGCACGGGAGGUGGCGUGGUGGAAGACGCUCGGGAGGGAAGGGAGGGAGGCGGAUGGCGAUCGAGAAGGAGGGGAGGGGAGCGAGGCGCGCAUGGCGGCGAGAUGCGGCGGCGGCGUGGAGAACCGUUGAGUACUGAAGGGCACCGACGAUGGAGCGGUAGAAUGCCGCAUCUGGCGCGGGUGAACCGUCGAGUGCACAAACCUUGGCCUUCGUGUCGAUAGGCGUGGGGACGGGCUUGCAGUUAAGCAUGCCUGCCCGAUCAAGAAGGUCCUGCGCAUACUGCUGCUGGUGGAGAAAGAACCCGUCGGCACGUCGUACCACCUCAAUACCGAGGAAGUAGUGUAACGGGCCGAGGUCCUUAAUGGCGAACUCGGCGCUGAGGCAAGCAGUAUGCUGGCGAAGGAGCUCUGGCGAGGAGGCCGUCAGGAUGAUGUCAUCGACGUAAAGGAGCAGGUAAGUGGUCGCCGGAGCCUGGUGGUAGACAAACAGCGAGGCAUCGGAGCGAGUAGCUCGGAACCCAAGCUGCUGCAGGAAGCCGGCGAUCCGCUGGUACCAGGCUCGAGGGGCCUGCUUCAACCCGUAUAAGGAGCGGGAUAGUAGCACACGUGGUCAGCAUGAGCCGCGUCGACAAAGCCAGUAGGCUGCUGACAGAAGACCUGCUCCGAGAGAUGGCCAUGCAAGAACGCGUUCGACACAUCCAUCUGAUGCACCGGCCAGGCGCGAGAGACCGCGAGCUGAAGGACCGCGCGAAUCGUGCCCGGUUUGACAACCGGGGCAAAAGUGUCGGUGAAGUCGACUCCAACAUGCUGCAGGAACCCGCGUACCACCCACCGAGCCUUAUAGCGCUCGAGAGACCCGUCAGGACGAGUCUUAUGCCGGAAGACCCACUUGCCAAUGAUGAUGUUGGCAUGGGCGGGCCGCGGGACAAGCUGCCAGGUGCGGUUGCGCCCCCUGCCACGGCCGCCGCACUCCCGCCGGCACCCUGGGAUCCGACCCUUCUCGCGGCGCUUCACUCCGCUCCUACACCCAACACAUACACCGGAGGCAGCGACUGGUAUAUGGACACUGGGGCUACCGCCCACAUGACUUCCAACCCUGGUAACCUCAACUCCGCAUAUCCAGUUUCUACCGCAUGUCGUAUCACUGUUGGGGACAGUUCAUCCCUUCCCAUUACUCAUGUCGAUCAUGGUUCUUUUCCGUCUAACUCCAUGCCUAUACAUAUGUCUAAUGUCUUAGUUUCACCUGAGUUAGUCACCAAUCUUGUUUCCGUUUGUUCUCUUACACGUGAAAAUCCUAUAACUAUUGAAUUUGACGAAGUGGGUUUUUCUGUCAAGGACGCCCGUACCCAGAUGGUACUCCACCGAUGUGACAGCCCGGACGGCCUCUACCCGGUGCACUCCACCAACACCUCCACGUCCGCUCCGGUCGCUCUCUCCGCCACGGUGGACCUUUGGCAUGCUCGGCCGGGACAUCCGAACCCGGCCACCCUUCGCCAUAUUCUUAGGACUUUUUCAUUCACGUGUAAUAAAAUCGAUGAUCAUACUUGUCAUGCUUGUCGUCUCGGCAAGCACGCCCGUCUUCCGUUUAGUGCGUCCUCAUCGGUGGCGUCGUAUCCAUUUGAGUUGAUUCAUAGUGACUUAUGGACAUCUCCUGUUGCCAGUAAUACGGGUUUUUUUAUACUAUCUUGUCAUACUUGAUGAUUUUUUGCAUUAUGUGUGGACCUUCUCGUUGCAGAGAAAAUCCGAUGCACUCUCCGUUCUCACUACCUUUUACUCCUAUGUCGCUACGCGGUUUGGGCAUCCCAUUCAUGCCUUGCAGACUGACAACGGGAAGGAGUUCGACAACGUCGGAGUUCGCACCCUCGUUGCCAAACAUGGCACGAUUCUUCGUCUCACUUGCCCGUAUACCUCGCAACAAAAUGGUCGCGCCGAACGGAUCCUUCGCACCCUCAAUGAUUGUGUGCGUGAUAACCCACAAGUAUAGGGGAUCGCAACAGUUUUCGAGGGUAGAGUAUUCAACCCAAAUUUAUUGAUUCGACACAAGGGGAGCCAAACAAUAUUCUCAAGUAUUAGCAGUUGAGUUGUCAAUUCAACCACACCUGGAUAACUUAGUAUCUGCAGGAAAGUAUUUAGUAGCAAAGUAGUAUGGAAGUAACGAUAACGGUGGCAAAGGUAACAGUAGCAAUUUUGUAGUAAUUGUAGCAGUGGCAACGGAAAAGUAACUAAGCGGAGAACAAUAUGUGAAAAGCUCGUAGGCAUUUGAUCGGUGAUGGAGAUUAUGUCGGAUGCGAUUCCUCAUGCAAUAGUUAUAACCUAGGGUAACUCAGAACUAGCUCCAAUUCAUCAAUGUAAUGUAGGCAUGUAUUCCGAAUAUAGUCAUACGUGCUUAUGGAAAAGAACUUGCAUGACAUCUUUUGUCCUACCCUCCCGUGGCAGCGGGGUCCUAAUGGAAACUAAGGGAUAUUAAGGCCUCCUUUUAAUAGAGUACCGAACCAAAGCAUUAACACUUAGUGAAUACAUGAACUCCUCAAACUACGGUCAUCACCGGGAGUGGUCCCGAUUAUUGUCACUUCGGGGUUGCCGGAUCAUAACACAUAGUAGGUGACUAUAGACUUGCAAGAUAGGAUCAAGAACUCACAUAUAUUCAUGAAAACAUAAUAGGUUCAGAUCUGAAAUCAUGGCACUCGGGCUCUAGUGACAAGCAUUAAGCAUGGCAAAGUCAUAGCAACAUCAAUCUCAGAACAUAAUGGAUACUAGGGAUCAAACCCUAACAAAACUAACUCGAUUACAUGAUAAAUAUCAUCUAACCCAUCACCGUCUAGCAAGCCUAUGAUGGAAUUACUCACGCACGGCAGUGAGCAUCAUGAAAUUGGUGAUGGAGGAAGGUUGAUGAUGACGAUGGCGACGGAUUCCCCUCUCUGAAGCCCCGAACAGACUCCAGAUCAGCCCUCCCGAGAGAGUUUAGGGCUUGGCGGCGGUCCGUAUCGUAAAACGCGAUGAAUCCUUCUCUCCGAUUUUUUUCUCCCCGAACGUGAAUAUGUAGAGUUGGAGUUAAGGUCGGUGGAGCACCAGGGGGCCCAUGAGGCAGGGGCACGCCCAGGGGGGUAGGCGCGCCCCCCACCCUCGUGGAGAGGGUGUGGGCCCCCUAGCCUUGAUUCUUUUGCCAUUAUUUUUUAUUAAUUCCAAAAAUAUUCUCCGUGAAGUUUCAGGUCAUUCCGAGAACUUUUAUUUUUGCACAAAAAUAACACCAUGGCAAUUCUGCUGAAAACAGCGUCAGUCCGGGUUAGUUCCAUGCAAAUCAUGCAAGUUAGAGUCCAAAACAAGGGCAAAAGUGUUUGGAAAAGUAGUUACAAUGGAGACGUAUCAACUCCCCCAAGCUUAAACCUUUGCUUGUCCUCAAGCAAUUCAGUUGACAAACUGUAAGUGAUAAAGAAAAACUUUUACAAACUCUGUUUUCUCUUGUUGUUGUAAAUAUGUAAACCCAGCAUUCAAGUUUUCAGCAAAGAUUAUGAACUUAACAUAGUCACAAUAACAUUUAGGUCUCAUGUUUACUCAUAUCAAUGGCAUAAUCAACUAGCGAGCAAUGAUAAUAAAUCUCGGAUGACAACACUUUCUCAAAACAAUCAUAAUAUGAUAUAACAAGAUGGUAUCUCGCUAGCCCUUUCUGAGACCGCAAACAUAAAUACAGAGCACCUUUAAAGAUCAAGGACUGACUAAACAUUGUAAUUCAUGGUAAAAGAGAUCCAGUCAUAGUCAUACUCAAUAUAAAUUAAUAGUAAUAGAUGCAAAUGACAGCGGUGCUCUCCAACUGGUGCUUUUUAAUAAGAGGAGGAUGACUCAACAUAAAAGUAAAUAGAUAGGCCCUUCGUAGAGGGAAACAGGAUUUGUAGAGGUGCUAGAGCUCGAUUUUUGAAAUAGAGAUGAAUAAUAUUUUGAGUGGCAUACUUUCAUUGUCAACAUAACAACCGAGAGAUCUCGAUAUCUUCCAUGCUACACACAUUAUAGGCGGUUCCCAAGCAGAAUGGUAAAGUUUAUACUCCCCCUACCACCAACAAACAUCAAUCCAUGGCUUGUCCGAAACAACGGGUGCCUCCAACUAACAACAGUCCUGGGGGAGUUUUGUUUGCAAUUAUUUUGAUUUGAUUUGAGCAUGGGACUGGGCAUCCCGGUGACCAGCCAUUUUCUCGUGAGUGAGGAGCGGAGUCCACUCCUCUUGAGAAUAACCCGCCUAGCAUGGAAGAUACAGACAGCCCUAGUUGAUACAUGAGCUAUUCGAGCAUACAAAGCAGAAUUUCAUUUGAAGGUUUAGAGUUUGGCACAUACAAAUUUACUUGGAACGGCAGGUAGAUACCGCAUAUAGGAAGGUAUGGUGGACGCAUAUGGAAUAACUUUGGGGUUUAUGGAAUUGGAUGCACAAGCAGUAUUCCCGCUUAGUACAAGUAAAGGCUAGAAAAAGACUGGAAAGCGACCAACUAGAGAGCGACAACAGUCAUGAACAUGCAUUAAAAUUAAUAAACAUUGAGUGCAAGCAUGAGUAGAAUAUAAUCCACCAUGAACAUAAAUAUCGUGGAGGCUAUGUUGAUUUUGUUUCAACUACAUGUGUGAACAUGUGCCAAGUCAAGCCACUUGAAUCAUUCAAAGGAGGAUACCACCCUAUCAUACCACAUCACAAACAUUUUAAUGGCAUGUUGGCACGCAAGGUAAACCAUUAUAAACUCCUAGCUAAUUAAGCAUGGCAUAAGCAACUAUAAUCUCUAAUUGUCAUUGCAAACAUGUUCAUUCAUAAUAGGCUGAAUCAGGAACGAUGAACUAAUCAUAUUUACAAAAACAAGAGAGGUCGAGUUCAUACCAGCUUCUCUCAUCUCAAUCAGUCCAUCAUAUAUCGUCUUUAUUGCCUUUCACUUGCAUGACCGAACGGUGUGUAUAAUAAUAAUAGUGCACGUGCAUUGGACUAAGCUGGAAUCUGCAAGCAUUUUAAUACAAGGGAGAAAACAAGGUAAUAUGGCUCUUGGUUAAAUCAACAAUAAUGCAUAUGGGAGCCACUUCAACAUUUUAAUCAUGGUCUUCUCCUCUCAACCCCCAAAGAAAAGGAAAUAAAAUAAAACUAUUUACACGGGAAAGCUCCCAACAAGCAAAAGAAGAACAAGAAAUCUUUUUGGGUUUUCUUUUAAUUAUUACUACUACAAGCAUGGAAAGUAAACUAGCUAGAAGCUACAACUAAUUUUUUGGUUUUUCUUAAGGUUUAUCAAACACACAAGAAGAAAGCGAGAAAAAGAAAAUAAACUAGCAUGAAUAUUACACUGAAAAAGUAUGAGCACCGACAACUAGAAUGAGUGUGUGAACAUGAAUGUGAUGUCAGUGAGAAAUACGUACUCCCCCAAGCUUAGGCUUUUGGCCUAAGUUGGUUUAUGCCCAUGGAUCAAAGUUGUAGUUGGGGUCGUACCGAGAUACAGUAGCUAUUGCAUCAUGAGCUGCCGCUUGGAGGCGAGCUGCCUCCGUCCUCCUCUUAUACUCGUUUGCCUCCUCCCUGGUUAUAAUAUAUCUCCCUUUUGCCUGAAAGUCAAAGAAAGUAGGAGUAGGGAGAGCAACAUGGAAAGUGCGGCUCCUGUCAAACAUUAGUCGGUACUGGAGAGGUUGUUCAUUCCUCUCAAUAAACUGAUGGCGAACCAUAGCAUUAUAAUCUAGAUAAGCGGGAGGCAAUUCCAUAUCAUUUUCAUGUAUGGGUAUCUCAAGAAAAUUAGCCACACGGGUUGCAUAAAUACCACCAAACAAGUCUCCACUUAAACCAUUAUUAUGCAACCUUCGUGCAACAAUGGCCCCCAAGUUAUAUUGUUUAUCUCCUAAAACAGCACUCUUGAGAACACUAAGAUCAAGAACACACAUGUGACAAGCCUCAUCCUUACCGUUUAUGCAUCUACCUAUAAAGAGAGCAAAAUAAUGUAUAGCAGGAAAAUGAAGGCUCCCUAUGGUAGCUUGUGUUAUUUCCCUAGAUUCCCCCACAGUGAUACUAGCAAGAAAAUCCUUAAACUCAGAUUUGCAAGGUUCACUAGCACCACCCCGCUGCGGAAGUUUACAAGCAGUAUUAAAAUCCUCUAAGUCCAUAGUAUAAGAUUUACCAUAGUUAUCAAAUAGGACGGUGUGAGAAUUGCGUGAAGAUGAAAAUUUGAACCUUCUCACAAAGGAAUCAGUUAGGUGAUAAUACUGAGGGCACUUAUCUAGCAUGAAGCCCUCGAGUUCAGCAUUACGCACAUAUGCGUUAAAUUCCUCCUUAAUUCCUGCUCGAACCAUGAAAUCUUCUGACGGCCAUUCACAAGGCCGCACUUGAGCUUCUCUUGGUGGUUCAUGCUCCGGCUCACGUAUUGCGGGCCUGGGUCCUUGCUUUCUUGAAGAACCACCUUGGUAUAUUUUCCGAAACAUAUUUCUUCUUCUGAAAAAUUUCUGAAAAAUUUAGUAACUCAAAAUAAAAGUGAACCAAACUCAACAAAAUUGAUAGCAACUACUCCUACAAGUGCCUAGAGACUAUAUCAUGCAUUAGAACUACUUGGGACCAUAUAAAUUUGACAUGCAAGCUCAAGAACAGGGUCACCUAGGCAGCAAAAAUUUGCAAUGAAUAAAGUACUAGAACAAAAACUAACCAUUGGAGGAGUCACAUACCGAAGAACAAUCCCCCAAAGCAGUUUUGUGAGUGGAGCUUUGAGCAAGGAGAUCGAAAAUCGCAGCAAGAUGAGCUAGAACUCAUGCUUGAGCUAGUUGGUGAUUUUUUGGGGAGGAAGAAGGAGUGUGUGGGUGCAGGAAUAAGUGGAGGGGGGCCACCAGGGGCCCACGAGGCAGGGGGCGCGCCCAGGGGGUGGGCGCGCCCUGGACCCUCGUGGCCAGGUGCUUGCUCCCCCUGAUGUGUUCUCAGUGCCUAAUAUUCUCAAAUAAUCUAGAAAAAAUCAUAUUUCAAUUUCAGGGCAUUUGGAGAACUUUUAUUUUCAGGAUAUAUUUUUUUAUUGCAUGGAUAAAUCAGAAAAUAGACAGAAAAUACUAUUUUUGCUUUAUUUAAUCUAAAUAACAGAAAGUAAAAGGAGGGUACAGAGAGUUGUGCUUUCUAACUUCAUCCAUCUCAUGCUCAUCAAAAGGAAUCCACUAACAAGGUUGAUCAAGUCUUGUUAACAAACUCAUUCCGAAUAACAUGGAACCGGAGAAAUUUUGAAUAACACUAUGUUACCUCAACGGGGAUAUGCACAUCCCCAACAAUAAGAAUAUCAUAUUUCUUUUUGACAGUAGGAAGAGGAAAUUCAAAACCUCCAAUAGUAAUCGUUGAAAUUUUUCCAAUAGAAUUGAUACUUUGGACUUGAGGUUGUUUCCUCGGAAAGUGUACCGUAUGCUCAUUACCAUUAACAUGAAAAGUGGCAUUGUCUUUGUUGCAAUCAAUAACAGCCCCUGCAGUAUUCAAAAAAGGUCUACCAAGGAUAAUCGACAUACUAUCGUCCUCAGGAAUAUCAAGAAUAACAAAGUCCGUUAGAAUAGUAACGUUUGCAACCACAACAGGCACAUCCUCGCAAAUACCGACAGGUAUAGCAGUUGAUUUAUCGGCCAUUUGCGAAGAUAUUUCAGUAGGUGUCAACUUAUUCAAAUCAAGUCUACGAUAUAAAGAGGGAGGCAUAACACUAACACCGGCUCCAAGAUCACAUAAAGCGGUUCUAACAUAAUUUCUUUUAAUGGAGCAUGGUAUAGUGGGUACUCCUGGAUCUCCUAGUUUCUUAGGUAUUCCACCCUUGAAAGUAUAAUUAGCAAGCAUGGUGGAAAUUUCAGCUUCCGGUAUCUUUCUUUUAUUAGUAACAAUAUCCUUCAUGUAUUUAGCAUAAGGAUUCAUUUUAAGCAUAUCAGUCAAACGCAUGCGCAAAAAGAUAGGUCUAAUCAUUUCAGCAAAACGCUCAAAAUCCUCAUCAUCCUUUUUCUUGGAUGGUUUAGGAGGAAAAGGCAUGGGUUUCUGAACCCAAGGUUCUCUUUCUUUACCGUGCUUCCUAGCAACAAAGUCUCUCUUAUCAUAACGUUGAUUCUUUGAUUGUGGGUUAUCAAGACCAACAGUAGGUUCAAUCUCUACAUCAUUAUUAUUGCUAGGUUGAGCAUCAUCAUUAACAUCAUCAUUAACAUUAUCACUAGGUUCAUGUUCAUCACCAGAUUGUGUUUCAGCAUCAGAAAUAGAAAUAUCAUCGGGAUUCUCAGGUGUGUCUACAACAGGUUCACUAGAAGCAUGCAAAGUCCUAUCAUUUUUUUCUUUUUAGAAGGACUAGGUGCAUCAACAUUAGUUCUCUAAGAAUCUUGUUCAAUUCUCUUAGGGUGGCCCUUGGGAUAGAAAGGUUCCUGAGUCAUUUUACCCCCUCUAGUCAUAACUCUAACAACAUUAUCAUUUUUCUUACUAUUUAAUUCAUGGAGCAAAUCAUUUUGAGCUUUAAGCACUUGUUCUACUUGAGUGGUAACCAUAGAAGCAUGUUUACUAAUGAGUUUAAGUUCACCUUUAACUCUAGACAUAUAAUCACUCAAGUGUUCAAUCAUAUAAGCAUUUCGCUUCAAUUGUCUACCAACAUAAGCAUUGAAGUUUUCUUGUUUAACAAUAAAAUUAUCAAACUCAUCUAAGCAUUGGCUAGCAGACUUAUAACGAGGAAUAUCACCUUCAUCAAAUCUAUAGAGAGAAUUUACCUUUACUACCUGUGUCGGGUUAUCAAGACCGUGUAUUUCUUUAACAUGCGCAAAUUAAGACCAUGUAUUUCUUCAAUAGGAGGUAAAUUCUUAACAUCAUCAGCUUUAAUACCUUUUUCUUUCAUAGAUUUCUUUGCCUCUUGCAUAUCUUCAGGACUGAGAAAUAGAAUACCCCUUUUCUUCGGAGUUGGCUUAGGAGUUUGUUCAGGAAGUGUCCAAUUAUUUUCAUUAGUCAACAUAUUAUUCAAUAGCAAUUCAGCUUGAUCAACUGUUCUUUCCCUGAAAACACAACCAGCACAACUAUCCAGGUGGUCUCUGGAAGCAUCGGUUAGUCCAUUAUAAAAGAUAUCAAGUAUUUCAGAUGAUCAGGCAAAGCAUUAAGUAGUUGGAGAAGCCUCCCCCAAGCUUGUGGGAGACUCUCUUCUUCAAUUUGCACAAAAUUAUAUAUUUCCCUUAAAGCAGCUUGUUUCUUAUGAGCGGGGAAAUAUUUAGCAGAGAAGUAAUAAAUCAUAUCCUGGGGACUACGCACACAACCAGGAUCAAGAGAAUUAAACCAUGUUUUAGCAUCACCUUUUAAUGAGAACGAAAAUAGCUUAAGGAUAUAAUAGUAACGAGUUUUCUCAUCAUUAGUGAACAGGGUGGCUAUAUCAUUUAAUUUAGUAAGAUGUGCCACAACAGUUUCAGAUUCAUAGCCAUAAAAAGGAUCAGAUUCAACCAAAGUAAUUAUCUCAGGAUCAACAGAGAAAUCAUAAUCCUUAUCAAUAACACAGAUAGGUGAAGUAGCAAAAGCAGGGUCAUAUUUCAUUCUAGCAUUCAAAGAUUUUUCUUUCAGCUUAGCUAAUAAUUUCUUCAGAUCAUUCCUAUCAUUGCAAGCAAGAAAGUCUCUAGCAGUUUCUUCAUCCAUAACAUAACCCUCAGGCACAACAGGCAAUUCAUAUCUAGGGGGAGAAUCUUCAUCAUCACUUUCAUCAAUAUUAUCAGUUUCAAUAAUUUCAUUCUCUCUAGCCCUAGCAAGUUGUUCAUCAAGAAAUUCACCUAGUGGCACAAUAUUAUCAAGUAUAGAAGUAGUUUCAUCGUAAGUAUCAUGCAUAGCAGAAGUGGCAUCAUCAAUAACAUGCGACAUAUCAGAACAAAUAGCAGAAGCAGGUUUGGGUGUCGCAAGUUUACUCAAAAUAAAAGGCGAAUCAAGUGCAGAGCUAGAUGGCAGUUCCUAACCUCCCCUCGUAGUUGAGGGAUAAAUUUUGGUUUUCUCGUCUUUCAAGUUCCUCAUAGUGAUCAGCAGAUAUAAAUCCCAUGUGACUCAAAGAAUAGAGCUAUGCUCCCCGGCAACGGCGCCAGAAAAUAGUCUUGAUAACCCACAAGUAUAGGGGAUCGCAACAGUUUUCGAGGGUAGAGUAUUCAACCCAAAUUUAUUGAUUCGACACAAGGGGAGCCAAAGAAUAUUCUCAAGUAUUAGCAGUUGAGUUGUCAAUUCAACCACACCUGGAUAACUUAGUAUCUGCAGCAAAGUAUUUAGUAGCAAAGUAGUAUGGAAGUAACGGUAACGGUGGCAAAGGUAACAGUAGCAGUUUUGUAGUAAUUGUAACAGUGGCAACGGAAAAGUAACUAAGCGGAGAACAAUAUGUGAAAAGCUCGCGGGCAUUGGAUCGGUGAUGGAGAAUUAUGUCGGAUGCGAUUCCUCAUGCAAUAGUUAUAACCUAGGGUGACACAGAACUAGCUCCAAUUCAUCAAUGUAAUGUAGGCAUGUAUUCCGAAUAUAGUCAUACGUGCUUAUGGAAAAGAACUUGCAUGACAUCUUUUGUCCUACCCUCCCGUGGCAGCGGGGUCCUAAUGGAAACUAAGGGAUAUUAAGGCCUCCUUUUAAUAGAGUACCGGACCAAAGCAUUAACACUUAGUGAAUACAUGAACUCCUCAAACUACGAUCAUCACCGGGAGUGGUCCCGAUUAUUGUCACUUCGGGGUUGCCGGAUCAUAACACAUAGUAGGUGACUAUAGACUUGCAAGAUAGGAUCAAGAACUCGCAUAUAUUCAUGAAAACAUAAUAGGUUCAGAUCUGAAAUCAUGGCACUCGGGCCCUAGUGACAAGCAUUAAGCAUGGUAAAGUCAUAGCAACAUCAAUCUCAGAACAUAAUGGAUACUAGGGAUCAAACCCUAACAAAACUAACUCGAUUACAUGAUAAAUCUCAUCUAACCCAUCACCGUCCAGCAAGCCUACGAUGGAAUUACUCACGCACGACGGUGAGCAUCAUGAAAUUGGUGAUGGAGGAAGGUUGAUGAUGACGAUGGCGACGGAUUCCCCUCUCCAGAGCCCCGAACAGACUCCAGAUCAGCCCUCCCGAGAGAGUUUAGGGCUUGGCGGCGGCUCCGUAUCGUAAAACGCGAUGAAUCCUUCUCUCUGAUUUUUUCUCCCCGAGCGUGAAUAUAUAGAGUUGGAGUUGAGGUCGGUGGAGCACUAGGGGGCCCACGAGGCAGGGGGCGCGCCCAGGGGGUAGGCGCGCCCCCACCCUCGUGGACAGGGUGUGGGCCCCUGGCCUUGAUUAUUUCGCCAGUAUUUUUUAUUAAUUCCAAAAAUAUUCUACGUGAAGUUUCAGGCCAUUCUGAGAACUUUUAUUUCUGCACAAAAACAACACCAUGGCAAUUCUGCUGAAAACAGCGUCAGUCUGGGUUAGUUCCAUCCAAAUCAUGCAAGUUAGAGUCCAAAACAAGGGCAAAAGUGUUUGGAAAAGUAGAUAUGAUGGAGACGUAUCAGUGCGCACUCUUCUCUUCCACGCUAAUGUCCCGCCCCGGUUUUGGCUGGACGCCCUCUCCACCGCCUCUCUACUCAUCAACAUUCGUCCGAGUCAUGCUCGUGGGAACUUUGCACCACAUCAUCUCCUCUUCGGUAACCCUCCCUCCUAUGACGACCUUCGUGUUUUUGGGUGUCUCUGUUAUCCUAGCAUUGCCUCCACUACUCCUCAUAAACUCGCACCUCGCUCCGUGGCAUGCAUCUUUCUCGGAUACCCACCAAACACCAAAGGUUAUCGUUGCUAUGAUCCGGUUUCCUACCGAGUUUUCACUUCACGGCACGUUUACUUUGACGAGAGGUCUUUUCCCUUUCACCAGGUACCGCCGUCGGUCGACUCGCCAUCGUCACCCGCGCCUCCUGGCACCCCUCGAGGAGGCCGCUCACUUGCGCUCGGGCCUCCCUCCCGGCUUCGGGCCCCCUGCAGCGCGUGGGCUUCCCCCAGGCUUCGGCGCUCCCACAGCGCCUGGGCCCCGGUCUGUGUCCGUGGCGUCGGACCCGGCCCCGUCUCUCGCCGCCCCAGGCUCUCCCGCCGGCCCAGCUGCAUCCUCGCCGGCAGCCACGGCGCCCCCGACUCCCGUUGAGUCCGUAACCCGGUCAGCGAGCGCCUCUCAUGCGCCUGACCCUGGCUCCUCGACGGCUUCACCGGUGAUCCCGAUGGGCUCUUCGUCAACUUCGCCCUCGGUCGAUCCCCCCUCGCCGGCCUCGCUGGCCUCGUCAGCUGCGCCCCCGGCCCCGCCGGUCCUGCCGACCCCGUGUUCAAUAAUAGGCACGGACUCCGGUGCGGUGUCGUCAGAGCCCGUCUCCAUCGUGGGGUUGUCCUCAUUGUCGAAAACCUCAGGCGAGUUGGCCGGCAUAUGCCCUCCUGGAUCUGCCUUGCACGGCAGCUCUGCCACGCGUCCGCAAGGGCGGCCAGCUCAUGCUUUGUCUCCGUCGAUAGGCUCUUCCAGAGAGCGUUGGCGCCUGCAGUCAUGGCGGAUGGGGUGGAAGGAAGGAGGAUGUGGAGCUGCUUGUGUUGUGGCGUGAAGUAGCCCGGGUGUGGCCGCCUUUAAAUAGCGGAUUCCAGUGAGGCCAGGCGUCCGGAUGCGUCAAUGCGCGGCGCUGGAGUGAGUUUCUCGUUCGGCGAGCUGGCUUAAUGGCGGCAUACAGACGGAUGGGGCAUUGAACGGGCAUGGUAGAUAUUCGUCAUGUCCCGUCCAGUAAGGCGUCUCCGACAUUGAACAGGCGCAGACACCGGGGACGCGUCGUGGGCGGCGCCCUCGGCCGCUGCACUGCUUCAAUGCUGGCGCCAGUCAGAGGUCGCGUCCGCUCUGUAGCCGGCUUCAAUGGGGAGCGGCCGCUCUACAGCGGCAUGAAUGCAAGCAGCUGACACCGGGCGGGAACGGCAGGACGUNNNNNNNNNNNNNNNNNNNNNNNNNNNNNNNNNNNNNNNNNNNNNNNNNNNNNNNNNNNNNNNNNNNNNNNNNNNNNNNNNNNNNNNNNNNNNNNNNNNNNNNNNNNNNNNNNNNNNNNNNNNNNNNNNNNNNNNNNNNNNNNNNNNNNNNNNNNNNNNNNNNNNNNNNNNNNNNNNNNNNNNNNNNNNNNNNNNNNNNNNNNNNNNNNNNNNNNNNNNNNNNNNNNNNNNNNNNNNNNNNNNNNNNNNNNNNNNNNNNNNNNNNNNNNNNNNNNNNNNNNNNNNNNNNNNNUUUGUCUCCGAACUGCCUUGCGGACCGACGCAUGACUGCGUUGGAUGGCACAACACGUUCAAAUCACAUGGUCCAGACGUAUGCAGACAGUUUGAGGGUUUGCGUUGGAGAUGCCCUAAUCAACAUAUUUGUUCAGAUUCAUCAGAUAACAUACUGACAACGAUUGCAGCCGGCCAUACACAACGUACAGUUCAUGUUAUGAACCUGGACUUUUCUAACUAUCAAUCGUACUUUCAGAACCGAAGAAGUUGUCGCUGAACCCGACAUCCGGCGUUCAUAAAAGGACAAGAUCGUUUCAUUUUCUCACAGCUAAUAUGAGGUGAACGAUGGCAUCAAAUUAAUUCUUCCAAGUACACAAACAGAAAGCAACAAAUCCUUAACAGUCAGCUUACUGUGUAAACAAGAGUAAGGUAAAGCACCAGAGAAUCUUAUCUCAAACCCAAAGUUAAAUUGCACGCUGGCUGGGAGCUAUAAUACACUUCACUCAUAUUACUCCUCACAUACUACAGGUACUAUUCACCAUGUACAUAGUGUAUAUAUCAUAGGUAAAAAUAUGGCAAGGGAUCCCUAAUAGUACAGCAAUAUCUACAGAGCAGAAUUUGUUUUGCUGAGAGACCUACACGCUGGCCUUCUCGGAACCAAUCUGCCACAUGCUGAUCGAAUCCUUUACGCGAUCCGUACGCAAAUCGUGGUAACUCUGCUCUCAGAAUGAGAAUCGGCAGAGGAUCGGGUAGCAAAAUGUUGAAAAACACACACACAUUGUUCGCGGAAGGGGA